UCUCAAGUUUUCUUGCUUCUCCUCGUUUCGUACUGGCCCGUGUUUAGGAGUUUCUUAGAGCUGUUCAUAUGUAGUAGCUGUGAUGGAUCUGUGAUGUAGUUGAAGUGGACAAAUCUUAGUGCUUUGCAGUCUUGUAUUGCUUAAAAGAGCGUUUCUUAUGGAAGAGGAACAGUUACCUUCCCCUUUUCAUGUCUAUUUUGCCUGAAUUUGUUAAAUUCUAUGUUCUGAAAAAAAAGUAACAUAUACUCCUGAUAAGAUAAGAGCUCUAGAACGUUGAAUAUUGAUGACAAUUGUGUUUGGGGUACCUGGUCUUUUAUUUACUUGAGAAGGAAGAACAUACUUUUCACUUACAGACAUACAUCAUGAAAACCUUUGUCACCUUUUGCGUAAGAAAUCGAAUGUACAGGAACCAAAAGAAUGAACUGGGGAUGUUGUUUGUUAACAACUUUUCUGUUAAGACACUGAAAUACUGAAUGAACUCACUACUGGGGAGGGGGGUGUUACUUAGAUGAUUGGGCCAACCUAUAUGCUUUGAGACAGUCGUACCGAGGUUUCAUUUUCAGUCACGUCCCAGCAGAGUCCUUUUUAGUUCUGCUUGAGUUUUCACUUCGUGGAGCUGAAUAUUCAGCAUAUUCAAUUGGACAACUGAAGAAACUCACUAUCCUGAAUGAAUAUAACCCUAUCCUGAAGGUGGAUGUAUUUUAGUGACCCUUUCAAGCAAUUACAUAUGGGAAAAGGAUCAGGCAAUAUUGAUACCCUGAAACCUACACAUUAACAUUACUUGGGUUGAUGAUUGCUGCAACACGUAUACACUUUGAACAAUUACUGGUACCCAAGCCAAAAUCCUCAAGGAACCUCUGGUAGACACAUGAAGAUUUCUGUACAAAGUUACCAGAGACAAAAGUUUGUGUUCACUUCUUUUACAUACAGGUAUUAGGAAAUUGAAGAAGAUGGAUUCUAAAUUUUCUUCUUUAUAUAUUGAGGUUAUUCUUUAUGACAUGUUUUACUUUAAAAUUUGCAUGGUAUCAAAUGUGAAUAUGUUCGCUUAGCCGGAUGAAUAGUUUAUGUUGGUUAUAGAUGCUUCAUCGAGAUUCGUUGCGGUGCUUAUAGGCUAUUAUCCCAACCUUCAUUUUUAUCCUUUAUUGACCAACUUUUGUUAAGGAAAAUAUAUUCUCUGGAUAAUGUAUUCUGUCUUAUUAAUUAUUUCUAUUUCUGUGAACAACACAGUUCUGCUGCUGUUGUGUUUCUCCUUUCAUUCCUGUUCCUUUCCAAAAUGUUUCUGCAUGUGCAUGUGUGCAUGAUUUUGUCCAUUGCUGGUCAAUGACAUUUUUUGCUCCCUGUUUUUUCAGUAGAUUUUAUGUUUUAGAUGAUACUUAUCCUUUUUGUCACAUAUUACUCACAUUUGCUGUAUGCACUUUCUUUCUUAGAGAGAAGGGCAGAUGCUUUUCAGUUAUCUGAAUGGCAAUAGUUUGGAACUUAAGAUAUCCCGCGACCUGCUACAGUUAUCUUGUUACUGUUUAGAAUCUUCUUAUCCAGUGAGCACACUAAAUGGGUACUUGAAAGUUUUCCGAGUACUAUAAAUUUAUACAGGAAAGGUUGUAUCUGUCCACUACCUCAAUCUAACGGUUCCAUUUGGUGUCAGCGGAUUUGGUGCGGAUGAGGACACCACUUAAAUAUGAUCUAGGACCACAUCCUAUGCUGGCAUCCACUCCUUUAGCUAAACUGUGCUGUUCGACAAUUGGGCUACCACUUGAGAUUAGCAUCAGCAAAUGAAAAUUGAGGUAUGCACAUUGACUCGAUGCACGCUGAUUUGAAAGCAGGAACUCGCUCCAUGAUGUUUGGCUUUACUACCGCAUUCCAUCAUGUGUGGUCCUUCAAUUUUUGAUAGGGUUCUGUAUAAGAAGCAUUAUCUAGGUUUAUCGGAUAACAUUAUUUAAAAGCCUAGUCUACUGAAUAUUUUCAUCUCUCAUGUCCUUUGUGUGUAAUAUACCAUGAUCAUGCUCUUCUUUUGCAUGAAUGAUGUAUCUUUUGAGAUAUUUAUGGUGUCUCUUUCUUUUAUUUAUAACAUGAACGAUAGUUAUUCAGUUCUUAAAACUGAACAUUUCUGCCAUGGCUGUUUGUGAGAAUUCUAAAAAAACACUCGGCCGGUGGGGGAAAGACUGCCCCCACAGUAUUACAUUAAGAAUUCUACUCUAGUUGACAUCUUUUCUUGGACCAGUGGAGGAUGUGCACAUAUGACCUGUUCUUUCUUGGCGAGUAACUAACAUUUAGGCAUCAAACUGUAUUACAUGAAAGGUGAAUGGUAUACAUGUGUUAAUGCUAUCCGUGUGAAUCCUUGCUCUAUGGUUACAGAAAUAGUGUAAGUGAAAUAUCAUCAUUAGUUACUCUGAACACAGAAUGUGCACCUCAGUUUCCUCUAUUUCUCUCCAUGAUCUGAGUUAAAUAGAAAAGGAACAUCUUUUAACUUUAGCUUCCCACGUUUCAUUAAUAGUGAUUUUUCUGAAGUACACAUACGAAAUCUUGUGCAUUAUUUAGGAGUAUACUUUCCAGUAAAUUUGGGUAUGAUUAUCUUGUUUUGUGUCCUCAUCUCCUGUUCCAUCUGCAAGUAGUUGCACCUGAAAGCAAUUUCUAGCUGGGGCAAAUCAAUCAUUCUGCUGAAGUUUGAUAGUUUCCUGUUUUCUUGCAUAGCCAUUUGUAGUGGUGAAAAUAGAUAAAUUCAGGUCUUUGGUCAAACAUACACAUGCCUUGCACAAUCCUGCAUAUACACCUUGAGAAAAAAAUAAGUACAUGCCAAUAGUUUUGGGCCAAUCAGCAAGCACAAAAGCAGGAAAAGGAGGAUUAACGUAAAGCAGAAGUAAGCCUCUCUUUUGCACCAUCUUCUUUAGGCCCGGGACCAUCUCCAAGAUGGCCUAAUUCCUAUCUAUUGACCUCCAAUGUAACUUGUGGCAUAUAAUUACCCUGCCACUGCUAAGAUAUGUCCAGAUUUGAAUGAUGGAUCAUUGCAUUGACAACCUCAUUUUCUUCUGCAGAGUAUGUAGAGUGCACCCCAUAGCAUACAUAGAAGACUAUGAUCACAAGGCUCCAGAUGCCGAAUCUCUGAUAGGACCUCAUCUUGAGGGUGGUUAUCAGGAACACGUUCAGGAAGACAGAUGCAGCAGCAGGCCACGGCAUCAGAGGGACAGACCACUCUGAUGGUGGUCCAGCAACGUCCUGCCGUGCUGUGCAGUGGAAGAUUGUGGUGAUUGCUAUGGAGAUGGCCCCAAACAAUGUCAUCCCCCAUCUGCACCACCCAUCGAUCUUCCUCGAGAUGGAGAAGCCGAGAGAGCUCAGCGUGAGGAGCAGCAUGAAGAGUAGGACAUGAAGCGGCCGGUUCACGCCGACCUUCACAUACCGGUGGUAGAUGAGCGCGUUGGCCACCAGGUAGAAGACCAGGAGGGUCCCGAUUGAUAUCAUCUCAAACACUGUCUGCAGCUCCGUGAAGAGUGCUAAUGAUGCAGUGCAGAAGCCUGAACAACGAUAGUGCUUGAUGGUUAAUUAGAAAGUACUGCAAAAAAAGAUGCUGGCUAGCGCAUUGGAAUGUAUUUGUUAGAAAUAAUUUGCAUUAUCUUGCGAUGCAUCUAUGAGCAUGAAUUAUGCCAUUGCCGAGAUCUUACAUCCAUUAUGGCCUUGAUCUCACUAAAGUUACAUGUACUUAUCUUAAACUGCUUUACCUAUAGAAACAAUAAGUUUAUCUCAAUCAUGGGAGACACUACUUGUUAGAUGAACUUUGCCCCAGAAAUGUUGGAAGUCCAUAUCAGAGUGCAGAGUGUCAAAACGAAAGUAAGCCUAAAAGCUAGUGCAAUAGUGUUUGCUUAUUAUGGGCAUCACUCGGUCUAGACUAGGUUUGUUUUUGCAAGUCAUCUUCUUUUUUGCGCCGUAAUACCUGCCGUUUUUGUAAGUUAUCUUCUGGGGCUUGUGGUUAAAUGGUUCAUAAGCCUACGACUUUAACCAUUACUACUUGCUAGAGCAUACUUUUUGUUUGCACAUACAUAGAGUUAUCUUCACACUAACCAUCUCACUCUACUCCCCAUUGGGGACUUAAAAAAAGCAGUUCUGCUCCAAUGCUGAUAUUAGACUUGCAGGAAAGAUUUGAGACAACUAUUCAGCACACAGCAGUACUACUGCAUCUUGAUUGCAAAAGAAUCACUCACUGACCUAUGCUGCAAGAAAUGCUGUCUAAAUCGAUAUGAUGCUGUUUGAAAGAUUUAGCAGCGUGCGUUUAUUGGGUUUGGGUACCUAGAAAGAUGGUGGCGUUCAUAGGAGUGCCGGUAGAAGGGUGGACCUUGGCGAGCCACGACGGCACCAGUCGCGCCCUGGCGAUAACGCACAGGUACCUGGCCUGCCCCAGCAUCGCCACCAGCAGCGACGCCACGAUGCCGAGGCUCGCGCCGGCGCCGACCACGCUGCUCGCCCACCUCCACCCCACCUUCUCCCUGAAUGCCGACGAGAACGGCGCGGUCUCCGAUAUCUCGUUGUAGGGCAGCAUGGCGCAGAGGGUGAGGGACAUGAGGCAGUAGAGCGCGGACACGACGAGCACGGAGCCGGCGAUGCCGACGGGGAGCGCGCGGGCGGGGUCCCGGAUCUCCUCGGCCAUGGUCGACGCCGAGUCGUACCCGAUGUAGCUGAAGUAGACGAUGGCCGCGCCGUCCAGGACGCCGCGGACGCCGUAGGGGGCCAGCCCGUGCGGCCGCACCAGGUUCCCCGCGCUGCCGUUCCACAGCCCGGCCACGAUGAUGAAGGCGAAGAAGAGCAGGUGGAACACCGUGAGCACCAUGUUCAGCAUCGAGCUCUCCUUGGUGCUGCAAACAGUUGCAAAUUAAAUCAGUCUGGUCUCUCAAUGCCAAUAUAUAUUCUUCUUUUUUUUCUUUUGCAAAAUGUGUUUUGCUAAUCUCUGGCUAACCUUGUUGAAAAAAAGUUAACAGAAUGUCAUCUAUCAGAGUAUCGCACUGAUAGCAAGUCAUGCACGCACAGAACUUGUACUAGUGUGUUCAUCAUAAAAUAUAGGAACUAAGAACACAGAACCACAUGUAAACGAAGAGAAAAUUACAUAAUGUGUGAUACUAGCUAGAAAUUAAGUGGCUUAGUAACGUGCCUACAUUUACCUAUAGCACAGGCAUAUGGUUAUGAUGAGGAUGAGCGCGACGGCCGGCACGUCCAGUGCGUUGUACCCCUCGGCGAGGCCGUCGACGACGAUCCUCCAAGCGUUGGGCUCCGUGACUCCGAACGUCGAGGCCAGGUAGUCCGUGAAGCUCCUCGCCACCGCCGCGUUCGACAGCACGUACUCCAUCAGGAUGUUGGCUCCACCGAAGAACCCCACGAACUCGCCUGACAAAAUAAGGAUACAGGGGUUUAGCCGUUAAGCUUCCAUUGUCCAAUCUAUUCUCUCGUUGUCCUUUAUUGUUAGGACAUUAAUUAAUACACUUUACGGUACAUAUAAGGAUCAUUGCAUUUCCAAUUUUUAGGUAUAUGUUACAAGUACUCCUUCUGAUGACACAAAUCCAAUAUUGUCAUGAAAACUUGUCGGAAGAACAUGAACAGCAUCUAGCAGGGAACUUAUUUCUCUCAUAAUAUCUCGGUCGUGGUUUCAAAAGAAACUGUAGCGCUGAAUGUUCUUCAGUUUUUUUAACGUAACUGUAGGCAGCGAGAAACCAGUAGGGUACGUGAUGAGGAAGAGAGUUUAUGGAUUAUUACCGAACGUUACUCUGAGGUAGCUGAAGGCGCCGCCGGCGACGGGGACGCGCACGGAGAACUCGGCGUAGCAGAAGGACGACAGCAGCGCGGAGACGCCGGCGAUGACGUAGGACGCGAAGACGGCGGCGCCCGCGGUGUCUCGCGCCACCCUCCCCGUGGUGACGAAGACCCCCGCGCCGAGCAUCCCGCCGACGCCGAGCGCCACGAGGUCGUACCACUCGAGCCGCCGCUUCAUGCGCGCCCCCGACCGGUCCCGCACCUCGUUCAUCUCCUGCGCCGGCGUCCACGUCACCAGCGCCCUCCGCCGCAGCCGGUGCGGCGUCUGCGCUAUCGACAGCAGCACGUCGCGCAGCGCCAUUGGCGUAGCCGCCUCUCUCUCCUCCUCCCUUUCUUGUUCUGUGGUUUGCUGGGUGGACGUAGCCGGGACGAUCGAAUCGAUCUCGGCCACUAUUUAUACGAGAAUAGAGGAGAGCUAGCAUUCAAGUUCUUGGGCACUCGGACGGUGGGCAAUGAAGGUCUCUGCACCUGUUCAGCUUUUUGGGCGUACGGGCCCUCGCGAGCUAGCAAGCCUAGCCAAAGCCACCCGAGCCCAGUAGUGGAUGGAUGCUUGUGUCCGUCUGUAACUGGGGAAAACCCUUUGCCUACUGGCUACUUGGAGUAUCUAGCUCGCAUGGAGCAGCUUCAAAAUCAAGGACCUGUCUCUUGCUGCUGCUCGCUGUGCAGCGACCGCUUGGAUCACAGCGUGCGUGCGUUCGUCCGUGCGCGAGCCAUGUGUUCGCCUCGAAAACCACUCCACGCAGGCCACACACGCACAUGCCUGCAGCGCGAAAUGCUGUUCUUGCGCCACUGCUUCUCUGAAAGCUAUGAAAAAUCUUGGAGAGAAACGCUAGGUAACUUCGUCCGAAUGCAUUUCUUAUACCUGAAUAAAAGAUGGUUGCAGAUUCAGGCAUAUAUUCUGGACUCGCCUGCAGCAUUUACUUAAUCCUAUACACCAGCAGCUCGCUGGUACGUGUGGGCGUGCGAUUUCUGACGGCUCCUGGAUUUUCUAUGCUGCUUCGAUGAAGCUCACACAUGGCACAGGAUUCAGGCUUUCAGCGGGUAAUAGAUGUGGAUGGAUCUUGCGGCUGUUUGUAAAUAGCGAUCAAAUCAAUACUAGGAUGUAGAGCACAGAUUCCUGUACCCCUCAUGUUGACACCUGGUCUGGCAAAGCAGGGAGGUCAAAUCUACAUGAGCCCUAUCAGGAGACCAUCAGACCAUCAAUAUACUAAUGACCAUGUACGAGCCACCAGCAGGUGCAAUAGCAUGGCGACGUGUCGACUUGCAAUUGGCCCCGGGGGAGAGCAUGCCACAGGCAGCUGUCAGCUGCUGGCUGCUCCAAGAUGUUUAGGCCGUGUCCAAUAGUAAGAGACACAGCUGGUAGCUCUAAGAAGGGAGGGAGAGAGAAGGAACAGGGAGAGCAGACGUAACACAGUGAGAGAGAAAUGCGUGGGAGAACGUGCGAGACCAUCUCUUCCUCAGGCGCUAGCUCUUCACUUUUGCUACUGUUCACGAAGUAAAAACUAUAAUUUAACUGGCUUAGAGCUAGACCUUUGGAGGAGGCCUUAUCUUUUUAUCAGCCUGAAGAUGUCGUUUUGAAUUUGUUUCAUGCAAGUAGUACCAAUAUCAAUGUGUAGUUACCAACUUUCAAUUACUGCAAGACAGGCAGGAUGCCAGAGAGCUGAACUGAAAAGUGAGAAAAUGCAGAAACAAACUGUGGCAAAUAGCAAACACUAUUAUCAGUUAAAAAUCAAUUAAGUAUUGCAACAUCUGUAACCCUAUCCUAUACCUAGCAAUUAGAUAUUGUGUUAAAAGGAUUGAAAAAAAAGCGUUCAACGAUUGAGAUAUUAGGGAAAAGAAACUUCUCUGAAAGUGAGUCAAUGUAUUGUGAUCCAACCCUGACGAGCUUCUUUUCCGAAGGGAACCUUGAUGAGCUUUUCCAAGGACGUACGCGAUCUCUGUAGAAAGAUAACAUAGGAGGGUAGCACCAAUGAUCUGACGGCUUGAAAGAGAGGCCAGGCGAUGUCCAGAAUAGUCAAAGAUUCAGAGAGCAUAAAAUGAUUACUCUGAAGCUCUGAAAGUCUGAAAGAUAUAAACAGACGAACUGUUGCAUGCGCAUGAAAGCAUCAAGAUCACUACUACGAAGAACAUAUCUUCGCACAUCGUAUAAUACUUGAGAAAAGAUCGACGGCUAAAAGGUUGCAGAAACAAGUAGAGAUCAACUGAUCUGCUGGCUGCGCAAGUAGAGAUCAACUGAUCUGCUGGCUGCGCCGGCACAGGAACAAUUCGCCUUGGAUGCUCGUAUAGCAUGCAGCUGGCACUACAGGGGGUUCCCGGAGAAAGAAGAACACGCAGCCGCACACUCGCAGAGGCUGCCAAUAAUGAUGGCCUCGGGAGAAAGAUGAGGCGACUUUGCAAUUGUUAAUCCUUUGAUUUGGCACGGAUUUGGAAUCGCCUUGUUAAUCACAAAGGGGAGGCGUAGGUUAGAUGCUACAGGUGUAGGCACGCUUGAUGCUCCCCUAGCCUGCCCUUGGAAUAGAUAAAGAUGAUAUGGCGCAUAUAUAUCAUAUAUAUAUCCUAGCCAAACUGCAUUCCAUGUCCAUGUGGGUAUACCACUUUUGCUAACAUGCGUAGAUGUACUAGAGAUCAAGAUGCAUGUAGCAUAUUCGAAAAGAUUGUGAUUUGUUUAGUCUUCAAGUCAGAGACCUUAUGCAUUUUGUUUUGGACUGCAGUGCUGUGCACCUAGAUAAUUGUAUGCCUGUUAAGUAGACAUGUGAGGAGAUGUGUGAGAGGGGCAUUUGCUCCCAGUUUUUUUAGUUGGUGUUUCUUUCAGAUCACAGAAGUUUUAUAGGGAGGGGAACUGCUCAAUUAUUCCCCCCUGCAUUUGGUUAGAGAAUGUAUUUUAUCAGAUGAUUUGCUCCCCAUUUUUGCAAUGGUAUCCUGCUUAUCGUAAAGAAUGGUCUAGUACUCUAGCCUCUAGCGAAGUGAACCAACCAAUUCUGUCCGGGUUAGUUUUGUUUCAGUUUUAUAUCAUUUUGAGCUGAAAUCAGAACUUGAAGAUCAUCAGUCCAGGCCCCAUAGUCAGCCCAUACCAGUUUGUGUACGCCUUGGCCCAUUAAGACUUUGGACCAGCCAAAACAUUCCCAGCCCAAAGGCAUACCAUGGUGGCAUGGUUGGUUUGCUUCGGGGAGCCCGUUUGUUACGUGCCUUCCAGUGUUGGAGAUUCGUGCAUCAAUUACUAUCCGUUGGAUGCCUCCCAUGUUUCCUCAACCCUACUAUCCUAUAUGCUCAAGCCGUCCCCAUCUUCCGCUCGUCUGUGCUUGCUCGCCGGGCACGCCGCCGCUGCCGACCGCCAACGCUGCACGCGGGGCCGUCGCCGCCGCUCCUGCUCACUGCGCGCUGGCGUGUGCCGCUGUCGCGCCUCUCACUGCAUGCCGCUACCGCCCCAGCGCUGCGCGCAGGGCUGCCACCACUCUUGCUCGCGCGCGCCCCAGCGUGUGCUGCUGCCGCCCUGACGCUGCAUCCGCGAGCCCAGCUUUGCGCAGUGGGCCGCCGCCGCACGCCGAUCCCUGUGCCCCUCUCACCGUCUUGGGACCUGAGGUACCUCUUCUAUCCAACUCGAGCAUGAUGCCAGCCCUGCAUCAACAGCAUCUUGCUGUUCUCGAAUGUCGCAAUCUACCAGCGACACAACAUUAAUUCUACUUCCUCUCAUCUCUCAUUUGCUUGCUUUGUUAGAUCAGUAAGUAAUCUAAUCACCGCCUCCCUGUUCGUGAAAAUGCUCUGCCAAGAUGGAUGAAUACUAACCUGCCCAGCAGAUGUUCGAUAGAAUGUUCAUGAGAGAUGGGAAAUUAUUUUUCAUUAAAUAAUCUAUCCGCCACCACCUUAUUCUUUCAAGAAUUUUUAGAACCUGUAUCAUAAUUCCUUCCUGAUCAUUGAGUUUGCCUACAUGAGAAUUGAUGAUACACGUUGGCGUGGUCUUUUCAUGUGUCCUUUAGUAUUAAGUAUUUACCGAAUAUUUUCCAUUUUAAGUUCCAGUUUACAAUUCUGCAUUAGAGGGUGAUUUACUGAUUUCUAGAUUGUUCAUCUUAGCCCAGGUAGAGAGCAUUGAACUGGUAACAUCAAGUCAUUGUGUCGUGCGACUUUUCAAAGUACUGUUAAGUUAUUCUAGACUACAGUAAUGCAUAUAAAGAUGUCAUAUUCUCAUAGAUCCAUAUUUCAACAAUCCUAAGCACUAUAUUCAACAUAUUUCUAAACUUGUUUCAACAUAUGUGAAUAACAUAUUCAACAUUUUUGAAAAUGCAUUUCAAAUAACUAUUUCUACAUUUCUAUAUAUCCGGCUCAACAAUCAAGUUCAUCUUGUUUAACAUUUUCUAUGAAUUUUUCUACAUUACAAUAAAGUUAUUUCUCCAUAUUUACUGACUAUUACUUAAAUAUUUCAACUUUCCUGAUUGUCGUAUUUCAGUAAAGCUACUUCAACACUACUGAAUUACAAGUUAACUUUCCUUAUUGUUGCAUUUUAACAUUUCUGUAAAUAUACCUCAACACUACUGCAUAUCAUGUUCAACUUUCAUGAUUGUUGUAUUUCAACAUUUCUGUAAAGCUACUUUAACACUAAACACUAUUGAAUAACAAGUCUAACUUUGACGAUUGUUGUAUUUCAACAUUUCUAUAAGUCUACCUCAACACUACUGCAUAACAAGUUCAACUUUUCUGACUGCUGUAUUUCAACAUUUUUGUAAAUCUACCUCAACACUACCGAAUAACAUCCUUGUAAUAAUAAAUUAAAGCCUUCAAUCAACAUUCUAAAUUUUGAAAUUGCAAUUUCAACAAUUCCCUUCUAAUUUAUAUCUAUUUUUGUAUCCUUUCAUACUUUUGACUACAUUUUUUUAUAUUUAUACUUAACAGGUAUCGGUAAAGCUUCAUGAGAAGAUAGUCAAGUGAUGCUUUAGAUCUACUUCGAGAACUUUGUAUUCGGUUGUAAUGAACAUAUGGAUGAUACCUCUAAUGUAAUUAUUAGUAUAUGGAUAUUUUUCCUUUUACAAUUUGGUUUCUAAACUUUGUAUUACAUUUAUGAACUUCAAAUAUCAGUUUGCAAGUUCCCACCCAUUCUUAACCCCUUUCUAACCACGUGCCCCGAAAAAAAAGUCAAUGCAAGCGAAUGGAUGCUCGUUGCCUGCAGGAAAAAAAAGUCAAAGACAGCAAAUGGAUGGAUGGUUGCUGCCGACUUUUUUUUAGCCUUUUUUUAUAAGAUUCUCGCGAACAGGUCUCCGGCGGAAACAUUUCAAAAUUUGUACCCUUAGCUUGGCGCCAUCCAUGCUGAUGUUAAGCUUACACGUCUCGGCGCAAGAUGUUUUGGUGCCAAGGUCGUUGCGCCGUCGGUGACGUGAGUGCUGACAUGGCAGGGGGCUUGGCGCCAGCGUCGAUGGUGCCAAACUUGGCGCCGUAGAUCUUGGUGCCGAGCUGUUACCCCAUAGCUCUUGAUGUUUCGAUGAAACAUGUAUAAUUAUUUUCGAGGAACAUGCAACAAACCACACUACGGUUCAACUGGUUAGGAUGUGCACAUCUUAUCCCAAAGGUUUGGGUUCGAAUCCGAAUCAAUGCUACUGGGGUUCGAACGCAGACCUUUGGGAUAAGAUGCGCGUGUCCUAACCAGCUGAAAUGCAGUGUGGUUUGUUGCAUGCUCCUCGGAAUAAUUAUACUUGUUUCAUUCGAAACGCGAAGAGCUAUAGGGUAACAGCUCGGCACCAAGAUCUACGGCGCCAAGCUCGGCGUCAAGAUCUACGGCACCAAGCUUGGCGCCAUUGACGCUGGCGCCAAGCCCUUUGCCAUGUCAGCACCCAUGUUACCAACGGCGCAAUGACCUUGACGCUAAACCUUCUAGCGUCGAAACGUGUAAGCUUGGCGCCAGGCUAAGGGUCCAGAUUUUGAAAUGUUUCCGUCAGAACUCUAUUUGUGAGAAUCUUAAAAAAAAAGUUUACAAAACAAAAAAAUCGGCACUCGUGAUGGAACAAAAAUUUGUGUCCGCGAGACAUCUUAAGAUGGGCUGUUAGUGGGCUUUAUAGCUACAUGGCUUAUCCAGCUAAUGGAAGCCAUAUAGGGACUCCGGGUUUGCUCCGCCCUCCGCCCUUGACUGUCGAAGCAAGAGAACAGAAGAAAGUUGCGUGCGAUAAUUUGCUCCUCUGGAGUCCCUAGGUGAAAUUAUUGGUGGGUACCUGACAUUUGCGAAAUAUCUGGUGAUUUUGCGGCGGCCAGGUAGACACUGGCACGGUGUUGUGGGCACUUCCCUCUUUGCCCGGUGCAAAGGGUGCUCCCGUUCGAUUUGGUAGCGCGGGUAGGAAGCCUAUAUAUCAAUAUAUGUAUAUUAGGUGUAUCUUGUGGUUCCAAAUUCAGUGCUUGUGCACAAAGGGGGUGAUCAUAAAAACUAUGCAGGUUCGUGCUGCCACGCAAAGCAUGCCGAAGGGAGGAAUUGGUUUUGUGUGCUGCAUAGUGUUGUAGGUAACCAGACAAAAUACAUGGUUCACCUGUGAUUUGGUUCUUUAAAUGCCUUUGUGCAGCAAAACUAAUCCAAUCUGCAACGCCUUGCCAUUUACUAACAUGGGUUUGAUGGACUGCACCAGUUACAUGGCUUGUAUAGGAGGCUUUCUCAUAUUUCCCCCAACAGCACCGGGAUUAAUUUCACCAGGACAAGUAAUCAAAGAAAGGCACAUGGAAUUCAGGAAGCACCCAUUGCGUGCAUUUGGUGGUUCGGAGACGAGCAAGACAAUUCUUGAUGUGUCAGGUGCGUGCUUCAUUUUAUCUCCCUCUAAUCCCCACCUAACUUUCUUUUACAUAAGUCCUGUUCUCGCACUUAUAUAAGCACGUAUGUUCAAGCAUAGGAGUUUUGGAAAGGCUUCAUACAAUCAUCCAGUGACACUACCAUUAUGGCUUUUUUCAAGCCAUCUCUGGUGUUCUGUUCGGUUCUUACUUUCCUUAGCCUGAAUUGCGGUCCAUCUCAUGUAUUUGCCAAGGUUUAUAUGGUGGUGAUGGAGGAUGAUCCAGUAAUUUCUUACAAAGUGAACCGCAAGCAUGUAAUGUAUGUGUGUUCUCUGUAUAGGAAUAGGUUGGCUUAUGUUAUCUCCUUGAAAUACCACUUAAUAAGAGAAUUUUCAUUCAGGAGAGGCGAGGAAGCUCAGAAGUACAAACAAGUGGCCACAACUAAGCAUGACAGCUUCCUGGACUCAUUUCUCCCAAUGGGAUCUUACAAGAAACUGUACAGUUACACGCACCUGAUUAAUGGAUUUGCUCUCCAUGCUGAAUCUGAGAAGGUGCCUUUUCUUUAGCCCCUAAAGUGCAUGACAUUACUUUUAAUCUUUCAUCUGUUACUUCACAUUUAGUCUAGGAAAUAUGUAAAGUGCUAGACAGAAAGCUUUCAUUCCAUCACCUGACAGAACAGAAUUUCCAGUACCAGGAAUAACAUCUAAAUGCACAUAAAUCAUGAUUGGAGCUGCAGAGAUACAUCAUAACAUAUAGACAUAAUAUGAACAAUAUAUGCGAACCCAUGUAAAUUCUGUUUCUUGUUGAACAUUAUCAGGGGAAUUUUUGUAGCGAAUUCAGAAAGUCUGGGUCCAGAUUUGCUGCUGCCCUACUGUAGUUUCCCUCAAUAAAUAAAUCUGAUCCACUUUAUUUUCUGAGCAAUGAGCAAUAUAUGACUUGUACUCUGUGUACUUACAAACUAAGACCCAUGAAAGACAUGAAGAUGCCGAUCGCAGCAUCACGAAACUCAUCAAUGAUCAAAUACGAAUCCGUUUGCUCUUAUACUUUACUAUCCUUUUUGCAAGUUUUCUUAAAGAGUUGGUGAUCUUAUUAGUGAAAGAAGGUUGCUUCUUUCCAUUGAGAUUAAUAUUUGUUGCAUGUGUAACAGACGGUUAGAAUUCUUAGCCGUGCAAAAGGAGUUAGACUUAUCCAAGAAGACAUCAAAAUGGUCAAGAUGACAACGCACACUCCAAAUUACAUUGGAGCUAGUGGAGUCUGGCCACUCCUGGGUGGUGCUGAAAAUUCUGGUGAUGGUGUGGUGAUUGGCAUGAUUGAUACCGGCAUCGACCCCAAGAACCCAAGCUUUGUUAGCAGCAACUUGUCAAGCCAAGCAAAAUCACCACCAGCUAGUUUCAAAGGAACAUGUCGUGCUGGGAAUAGAUUUCCUCCAGAUUCAUGCAACGGUAAGAUAGUGGGAGCUAGGUGGUUUGCACGUGCUGCUCAAGCGACUGGAGAGUUCAAUGCUACAAUUCACUAUGCAUCUCCUUACGAUUCAGAUGGUCAUGGCAGGUGUGUGCAAUUAUCUUCUAUGCUGAUGACUAUGUUAAUUCAUUUUUAACCACAAUUGUGUCACCAGCUGAUCAUAACAAUAUCUUCGCAGCCACACUGCAUCGAUUGCAGCUGGGAAUUUCCAUACGCCAGUAAUAUCCGGAGGCUACAGCUUUGGGUAUGCAAGUGGCAUGGCCCCCGGAGCUCGGUGAGAAAGAUUGAAAGAACAAUCCUUUUUCAGCAUUUCUGAUACUGAAAGCCAAGAGGGGGAGCAGUAUAUAAAUCUUACUCUUCGUUGCCUUCUCUGAUUUCCCUUACAGACUUGCAAUCUACAAAGCUGCUUAUCCUUUUGGUGGAUAUAUGUCAGAUGUGAUAGCUGCAGUCGACCAGGUUCUUAGAUAAUAUAUUCUUUGCAGAAAGCUAUUACAUCCGAAGCUGUAUGCUGAACUGCCUGUAUUACUUGUCUGUAGGCUGUAGAGGAUGGUGUGGAUGUUAUAAGUCUUUCCAUGGCUCCUUCUGCAGUUUCAUCUGGGCCAGCAUCUUUCCUCAAUUUGCUUGAGGCACAACUGCUCCUUGCCACCAAAGCUGGAGUCUCAGUUGUUCAAGCAGUUGGCAAUGCAGGCCCAGAUGAGAACACAAUCGUCUCUUUCAGCCCAUGGAUAUUAAGUGUUGCUGCUUCGACAACAGACCGGAAGUAUAGAAAAUCAAUCAUAAUUGGCAAUGGGAAAGCCUUCUCCUGUGGCGCUCUUUCUGGUAAUUCAGUUCAACCUAUCUUAGUUGUUGAUCAAUAGUUUGUAGCUUUUUGCCAAUUCAUAAGCACAAUGCACUCACAGGUUUUCCUUAUGCUAUAUAGAAAUUGUAGCUGAUCUUGGAUAGGAUAAGCACUUUCUGUCCUAGCUUACUGCAUUACUCUUUUACAUGUCACAUUCAAGUAGAUUUAAUGAUUGACCAUAUCAUAAUGUGUCUGUGUUUCAAAUUCUUCACUCGAUGCCAGUGUUGUUUUGACUCCCUUGCCUAUUUUGCCAGCACCAACACCAGGUGAAACAAUGUACCCACUAGCAUGGGCUGAUGAUGUGAUCGUUGAGAAUUCAACUGACGAUGGGUGGUAUAACAAAUGCCGAGAUCCAAGGAUCUUCAUCAAACCUCUUGUCCAGGGAAAGUUGAUUGUUUGCAUGUUUGACUCAUCAGACUACUAUGAUGACAUCAGCCUUUCUAGCAUCAUUGAUACGAUUCAGAAAAUUGGAGCUGCUGGAGUCAUCAUCACUGAUCAUUCUUCGCACGACGUUGACAUUGAAUUUGAGCCUACAUUUCCCACAACAGUGCCUUCAGCUAUACUCCUGAAGGGUUCCGACAUGCGGGUAGGUUCCUGAACAAGCAAUUUGUCAUUGCUAGUAAAAGAGAUGUCUCUGGGUCCUGAUUCAGUCAUAGAGCUUGUGUUUUGCAUUACAGUAGUGCGUGGGUCUGUACCGAGACUGCAAUAUUCUCUUUUCGGUGAUUCGGAAUGUAUGCGUGACUGCAUUUGCCUUUUGCAACUGGGUGCAGGCUCUACUGCGGUACUAUAACAACAACACGGUUCGAGAUGAUGACGGAAACGUUGUGAGCUUCGGAGCCACUGCCCGGAUUCUGGAGGGACGGCAUGCAACCUACACGGGAGAAUCACCCGUCGUCGCCGAUUACUCGUCGAGAGGACCGGACGUGGAGAACUCACAGAUGCAGCCGGCAGAGGUGCUGAAACCGAACGUCAUGGCGCCAGGGCAUCUCAUAUGGGGAGCCUGGAGCCCGACGAGCACCGCCCUGCCAGAGAUCCACGGCGAGAGCUACGCGCUGCUGUCGGGCACGAGCAUGGCCGCGCCGCACGUCGCCGGGGUGGCUGCCCUGAUCAAGCAGAGGCACCCGGCGUGGAGCCCCGCCAUGAUCAUGUCGGCGAUCAUGACGACCGCGGACGCGACCGACCGGUCGGGGCGGCCCCUGAUGGCGAGGGGCGAGGAGGGCUCCCUGGACCCGGCGACGCCGUUCGACAUGGGGGCCGGCGCCGUGAACGCGGCGCGCGCCCUGGACCCCGGGCUGGUGUUCGACGCCGGGUACCUGGACCACCUCCAGUUCCUGUGCGCGGUGCCCGGCGUGGACGACGCCGCGGUGCUCCGCGCGGUUGGCGCGCCGUGCCCGCCGCCGCGCGCGGGCGGUGCGGCGCGGUGGUGCUCGGACCUGAACUCGCCGAGCGUGACGGUGGCGAGCCUGGUGGGGUCCCGGCGCGUGGAGCGGCGGGUGACCAGCGUGGGCGCGCAGAACGAGACGUACGCGGCGUACGUGCGCGCGCCUGAGGGCGUGGCGGUGCGCGUGUCGCCGGCGCAGUUCGCCAUCGCGCCCGGCGCGACGCGGGCGCUGCGGAUCGUGCUCAACACCACCGCGCCAGGGAACGCAUUCAGCUUCGGGGAGGUGGUGCUCAGGGGCGACAGGAAGCACCACGUCCGGAUCCCCCUCGCCGUCUACCCCGCCGGGACGCUGGGCCCGUGAACUCGGGCACGAGACCGUGUGCCACCCGUAGCUCAUAAUACGCGUGUACGCGCAAACAGAGCGUGUGUGUUCGUCCGAUGUACACGCACAUGUACGGGGCUCGUUCCCGUUCCAUAAUGUAGAGCCAUGUUGGGAACGCGGGAAGUCCUGUGGAAUUCGAAUGUUCGGAACAUGCAAACCUUGAGACAGACGAGGGGCUCUUGGCUCUUGAGAUCGUGAGGAGGCAGAACCACUUCCAUAUUUACAUUGUCUUAAAAUCCACGUGUUCGGCGUGGGAAAGAAGUGGACCUGGUUUGAGUCGAGUGCUUUUAUUAUUACCAUUUUCAAAGACAGUAGGAGUGGGCACCCACUCCCAGGCCUUGCGAGUUGUGAUGUACUGACGAGGCUAUCCGUCUAUCGAUUGACAUGAGAGUCAUCGAGAGCACGAUUGGGAUGUGGAUAUGAGCAGCAGCGGAGCGGAUGACGCCGCGCGGCGUCGGUGCGACGCGGCGAGGCGAGGCGGCCGCGCUUAUCCGUGACCGGGCUCCCAGCUUCCCACGCCUCCACCUCAGCAAGGACGCGGCGCCGGGCCGGUACGCCGCACCUCCCCCAGUUGACAUCGGGAGGCCGGAGAAGCGCGAAACUACCGGGGUUUGACCCCGUUUUUUAUCGAUCGCGAUCGCGGGCUCGCACCUCGCAGCCUGAGACGGGGACGCCACCGGAGCCCGCUUUGCGUGCACGCGUGGGCUCCCAUGCCCAAGCGCAACCGAGAAGCCAUGCAGUCCGUCCAGCGGCCGUAUGAGCGGUACGAAGAGGAGAGCGAUGUCGUGUCGGCGUCUCGCCGGAGUAUGAUCCACGUUUUGCGCAGUGCGGGUGGUGGUCCUCCCGUCCUCCGCGAUGAGAGCGCACGAGUAGUCUCUCUGCGCUGCACCGUUGAGUCGCUGAUGCAGCCGAGCCGUUCCGCCCCAACAGUGUGCAGAUUUGACAGACGGUUCAGACUUUAGUUUACCCGACUCAUCCACGUUUUGCACGAUCAACGUGUGCUUGCGACGACUUUAGUUUACCCGACUCAUCCACGAUUUGCACGAUCAGCAUGUGCUUGCAACUUUGCGAGAUUGCAUGCGAUGGGAGUAUGGGACCACCAAGGCACCAAGGCACGAACCCACCAGUGCCCACUGGCCACUGCACGGCACGGCUGCAUCCAUCCAAUCCACCGGCUACACGCCUACACUCCACCUCGAGAAAGGGGAAGGCGCCUGCCCUGCCUGGCUGCCUCCAUUUUUCCCUGGGGGAGGCGCCUCCCGGAACGGGGAAGAGGAAGAUGUGUUGCCUGCCUCAGAUGCCGCUGCCCCCUCCUCUCCGACUCGCUGAAACCGUGCGCCUACGCUGUCCUACGUGCGCCAGUACUGCGGCACGAGUAGGAGCGUACCAGAUGACAACAUACCACACGAGAGGACGACAAUUUUUUUUUUGAAAAGCUAGACGACGACAUUUCAAUGCUCGGGCCUGGAGCCCUGGACAGGCACGUUGCCAACUCAGGGUGGUGCCUUGACUGCAAGGACCUGCAGGCUGCAGAGAAUCCGUGGACGCACAGACAAAACCCUGAAAUGAAAGGAGAAAAAAAACACAAACAUGGCAGACUUUUCAGUUCCUGGCAAGAGGUGAAGCAUCGGAACAAAAAGAAGCACCGAAAAGGCCGGGCCCGGCACGCGCCACCCUUGUGGGCCCGGGGUUAAUAUCUCCACUGUCGAGCGGACCCCCACUAGUGGCCGGGAAAAGAGGGAGAGAAUCAGAUAAAGCCAGCAGCCAUGGGAGGAGGAAGAACUCCCUCGGCGGCUCGGCGCCGUGGCCUCCCCCAGAAAUUUCUUAAAGAAAACUCGAUCUCCUGUCCUUAUCCGGCAUCGUUCGCGCGCCACUAGCGAAUUCCCUUUGGCAACCAACAACCCCCUCCCGCUCGGGAACGCGUGCUGCCGGCUCCAAUCCAAAAUCGAGUUCCGGUCACGCUCCAACGUUUGCGAGCAGAGUUCCUGUCUGACUUCCGUUCCGAACUCCUCCCUCCCUCCCUCCUCUCCAAGAGUUCCAGAUCGUCAAGCCAGCCACAGCUCCGCUCAGCCCCAGCGCGUCGGUCUUAUCCGCCUUCGAGCUCCGGCUCUGCCCGCCUGGAUCCACCCUGCCUCGCUAUUAAUACCACCGCCCUGCGGUUCUUGCCUCCGAUCUCCAUACCAGGCCCUUUCUCCUCGGUUCACGGAGGAAACGCGCCGCGGCCGCCUGCUUUCUUCUUCUCUUUGCCGUUUUUAGCUCGCCUGGAUCUCGCUCGCGUCGCGUGCGCUUGCUGUUCCUGUCGGCGCUGCUGGAAAGGUGGGCCUUUUCCGCGGCCGGCCUCUCGUGAUCUUUCCUUAUCCUUUGUUCGACGCCAUGAACGCGCUCGCCGCCACCAGCCGCAACUUCCGGCGGGCCGCGAGGCUGCUUGGCCUCGACUCCAAGCUCGAGAAGAGCCUGCUCAUCCCGUUCCGCGAGAUCAAGGUGGGGGUCCGUUCGUGUUCCGUCCUUUUUUUUUUUCACGAUGAAGCUUGUUUCCGUUCGUGUUGUCGGCCGAUGACUUGUUUGCUCAUGGGUUUCGCGCUGUUCGUCAUCACAGGUGGAAUGCACCAUCCCCAUGGACGACGGCUCCUUGUCGUCCUUCGUGGGGUUCCGCGUGCAGCAUGACAACGCUCGCGGGCCGAUGAAAGGCGGCAUCCGCUACCACCCUGAGGUUAGGGAUCUCCCCUGAUGCGAUUCUUUUGUUGAUUAUGUCUACUGAUCGGUGAACAUGCUAAGAAUAGCUACUGUAGCGAUUCUGAACUAGGCAUGUUUUGGAAGGGACCGUGUCUUAGUUCAUUGCUUCUUUUUGGUCUGGUGGAUCUGCAAAACAAUACUCUUUUGUAAUUUAGUUUGGGUAUUUUUUACUGUAUUGUUUGUCAAGCAGAUGAUGCGUGAAAAUAGUGUCCUUUUUUCAUUAUGAAAUCUCUCUUUCCGUUAUACUUCUAUCUCUGUAUACUUAGGUUGAUAUCUCUAUCAGUCAAACUGAAAGAAUGACUUAAUGUUUUUUCCCUUUUUUUUUUGAACUACUCUCUAACGACCUCUUGCGGAUGUUUCAAAAGUUUUGCUUCCUUACAAGUUUCAAAAGUUUUCUGAAUUCUAUUUUGAAGUCGUUCUGAUGUUUUUUUCAGAUAGUUAGCUGAAUAAAAAGUGGCUGUUGUGUUUGGAUUGCAUAUGUAACUAAGCAACUGAUGUCAUCAGUUUCUUUUAAUAAAAAAAGGCACCAUACUUUUUUCUAAAAAAAAUAUUGCCGUUCCUUGGCGUUUGUUCUUUUAUGCUGCAUUUUUAAAUGUUAAGCAUGAAAAAAUCAACUGAAGAAUUUCUUGUUGACCAUUUAUCUUUAAUUUACUCCUAAAUUCAAUUGUUUACCUGUCAAACAAUGAUUUUCAUUGUUCUGCUUGACAGGUUGAUCCAGAUGAAGUAAACGCACUUGCUCAACUGAUGACAUGGAAGACAGCUGUUGCAGCAGUACCUUAUGGUGGAGCAAAGGGAGGGAUUGGUUGCUCUCCUGGUGAACUAAGUAGAAGUGAGUUGGAGCGGUUGACUCGUGUAUUUACACAGAAAAUCCAUGAUCUUAUCGGUACUCAUACGGAUGUCCCAGCUCCUGACAUGGGGACCAAUGCACAGGCAAGCCUUUUGUCAUUGUUUGUGAUCCACUGUCAUUUUUUGCUAUGCUCAGUUACUUACCAUAUUCUUGACACCUUUUUAUCCAAUUAUGACACAGACCAUGGCAUGGAUGUUAGAUGAGUACUCGAAGUUCCAUGGCCACUCCCCUGCAGUUGUCACAGGGAAGCCAAUAGUAAGUGAAUAAAUAUUAGUUGUUACAGCAAGUAACUUCAUGGAAAUAAAGUCUUUACACAGUACGGUAAGAAUUCACAUUUAUUAUUGUAGGAUCUUGGUGGAUCAUUGGGCAGGGAUGCAGCCACAGGGCGGGGUGUGAUGUAUGCUACUGAGGCUCUCCUGGCUGAAUAUGGAAAAUCCAUAUCUGGAUCGACUUUUGUUAUUCAGGUGAGUCAUAGUGGACUCCCAAACUACUUUUAUAAGAUGGUAAAAGGAGAAUAGCAUGUUCCAGCUUAAAGAAGAGAAUGAAUUCCUACUGUCUUCCUUAAGAGAGAGUGUUGACAGCAGCUCAACUAACAAAAUAUAUGUUCAAAUACUCUGUAUAUGCUAUUUUGCUAGCACAAUAUAUAUAGUCCUUAUAAUCUGUAAAACUUGCAGGGUUUCGGUAAUGUUGGUUCAUGGGCUGCACAACUUAUCCAUGAGAGGGGCGGUAAGAUAGUUGCCCUUGGGGAUGUGACAGGUUCAAUCAAAAACAAGGCUGGCAUAGACAUACCUGCUCUGAUGAAGCACAGGAAUGAAGGUGGUGCUUUGAAAGAUUUUCAUGGUGCCCAAGUUAUGGAUUCUACUGAGUUGCUAGUGCACGACUGUGAUGUUCUUGUCCCAUGUGCCUUAGGUGGAGUUCUUAACAAGUAAGAACUAGUGUCCUUGUCUAUUUUUACUUCCAUUACCUUUCCGUCAAUGAUUGUUGCUCAUUGGUACGGCUUUCUCAGUACCUCCUCAUGACCUGAGAAACUACACCAAUCUCGUUAUGAGUUGAAUAGCUUACUUUUGAUUCAUCUCCUAGUUAAGUAGUAUAUAAUCCAGGAUUGCUGAUCCGGCUUAAUUGAUUUUUGUGAAGGGACAAUGCGCCAGACGUGAAGGCCAAGUUUAUAAUUGAAGCUGCUAACCAUCCAACUGAUCCAGAGGCAGAUGAGGUACAAAGAAAAUUUUAGAAAAUUACCAUCUACGAGAUAACAUCAGUAACAUAAACCAAUUUGGCAACCAUGUUUUCUGAUCCUUUGAAUCUUGUAUAUGUAGAUUCUCGCCAAGAAGGGAGUAAUUGUAUUACCUGAUAUCUAUGCUAAUUCUGGUGGUGUGAUAGUUAGCUACUUUGAGUGGGUUCAGGUAAUUGCCUGUACAUACUUCGCCAUAUCAUUUGCACAUCUGCUUCCUUGUUUUAAUCUGACACCUUCCUUGCACUAUUUUGAUGGUGCAGAACAUUCAGGGUUUCAUGUGGGAUGAAGAGAAAGUGAACAAUGAACUAGAAAAGUAUAUGAGCAGUGCUUUUCAACACAUCAAGGCCAUGUGCAAGUCUUUAGAUUGCGACCUUAGGAUGGGGGCAUUCACCUUAGGAGUUAAUAGGGUUGCCCGCGCCACCCUCUUGAGAGGCUGGGAGGCUUGAGAUCAUUAAGCAUACAGAUUGAUCAGAUUUGACAUUCAAUAAUUCAUGUCCAACAAUAUUGGAUGACCAGUGUUUGAUCUGGUAAAAUUCAUCAGAAGUGGCAGGCUUGGAAGGAGUAGUUUGGGUGGGGUGUGCUUGUUCUUCCUUCUUUUUCACCAAUACACUACUGGGUUGCCAAUGGUUGCUUAUCCAGUUUUUGGUGAUGGUUAUUUAAAGCAUUUUGAUGUUUUACAAAAAAUAUUUUGGUCAACAAUGUUCCCGUUCCAUUUCAUUCUUAUUGAAAUACUGGUACGGGGUUCGAAGACCCCAGAUGUGAAUGAAUCGCAAAAAUUGCAUGAGACUCGAAUAUCCAUUCUUAUUGAAAUUCUAGUACGGGAUUUAUGACUUCAGAUGUGAAUAAAGCAUAUAACUGCUAUUAGUUCCCUAUAUCUCAGUAAGAAAACACAAAGUUAUCGUACUACGCAUUACAUUUAGCAAUUCUGAAGGUGUUCUUAGGCAUAUGAGAUGCUUCAGUGGCCCAGGUUUUGGAGCUACGCGUUUGCUGCCGCUGUCGUCAGACAAGGCAGCGCGAGCAAACAGCACGAGGGAUCAUCUGGUAUCUCGUCAGCUGUCAAUGGGUACAAUUCGCGAGCCUCGAUGCCGUCCUUCUUAGCAACUGAUGCUGGAGUAGAGCAGCCACCGGCAGUUACCCGUGCCAGCUUGGGCGAUGCCUUCUUCUUGCCUGCAACUGGUGUAAGAGCAGAGCCGUCGGGGGCCACCACCGCCGGUUUGCACUGCUGGCGACGGCCCUUGGGUGUAUCUGGCAGAGCCUUGCUGCCAGCCUUCUCUCCUGCAGUUGGGGCAGAUCCCACCUUGCGAGGCUGACGAACACGCUUGUUGGUUGGUGGAGCCUCCCCAACGCCAUCCUUCUUGUCAGCAACCAACACCGGAACAGGGCCGUCAUCAGCAACCACAAGCGCCAGCUCGCAAGCUUGGCUGCUGGACUCCGGUGCAAAGGACGUUGCGCAAAUGCUGUCAUUCUUGGCCACCAGUGCCAGGUUGAACGAUGGAGCAUCACGGCUGUCCUUGUCCAUGGCAGGUGUUGGCGCAGGCACAGGUACGUCGGUGGUGUUCACCAGGGCCAGCUCGAGAGGCUGACGACCCUCAACGGGCGUAGUUGGAGGCACCUCGGCGCUUGCCUUGUCCAUGAUCGAUGUUGUGGCUGGGCCGUCACCGACGAUCACCUGUGCAAGCUCACGCCGUGGCUCAUGCUCCUGGAUCGUAGUGUCGGGAGCCUCACAACCGCCCUUCUUGCCUUCAACCAGUGUUUUGCCAUAGCUAUCGGUGGUCGUGGUCAUCCCCAGCUUGCGAAGCCGGCCACGGCGCUUGGGCGUCGAGGACACUGCCUGGCUUCCGGUUCCGUCCUUCUUGUCAGCAACAUCAACCGGUGAUGCUGGAACAGAGUCCUCGGUAGCGGACUGUGGCGCCACGGCGCGACGCUGUCCUCGGCGCUUAGGCGUUGAGAACGCUGCCUGGCUUCCGUCCUUCUUGUCAGCAACAGCAACCAGUGAUGCUGGAACAGAGUCCUCGGUAGCGGACUGUGGCGCCACAGCGCGACGCUGUCCUCGGCGCUUAGGCGUUGAAGACGCUGCCUGGCUUCCGUCCUUGUUGGCAACAGACACUGGUGAUGUUGGAACACAUCCCUCAUCAGUGGCUAGUCCGGCAGUGGCGCGACGCCUCCCGCGGGGCUUGGGUGUCGCAGACCGAGCCCCAUCCUUCUUGCCGGCAGGCGACAUCGAAGCCGAGCCAUCUUUCCGCGGCCGGCCUCGGCCACGCUUGGCCUCCUCGGAGGAGCCCGCAGCGGCCGGCUCCACCGGGAGCUCCUCAGCCGUGUUCUCGUCGGGGCUGCGCAAGUACAGGCCCGCCGCGGUGCACAUGAAGAAGCCCUCGGCGACGUGCUUGUCGAGGUAGUGACGGAGGAGCCUGUCGUGCGCCGCGGGCACCCCGGGGUGCCUGGCGCGGAUGAAAGCCGAGAUGGAGUCCUCCUCUGAGCCACCGAGCGCGUCGAUCGCCUCGCCGAUCAUCUGCAGCCCAACGCGGUCACAAUGUCAAGCGUGGUGAAUGGCGAUAGACGUACGAGAAAUGGCUGAUACAAACUAAAUCGCAACGCCGUUUUUCUUAAACAAGAAAGAAGGGGGAACAGAAUCCUCCACUGCUGGGCGAUCAGCCAAUCAACGUUAGCAUAAUAAAAGAUUAAAAGCUGGUCGGUAAAGCGGUAGUAAUUGGUGGCUUUUCCAUUGGAGGUGCCAAUUUUGGUCGAUGGGCGCAUAUUAACAGAACAAAUUAAUCGCAGAACUAAAACUAGCCACAAUCCGUACAAAUAAAGUACCAAAUCUGCGACAUUUAUUUGAGGUAGUAUCAUCCAUGAAAUAAAAGAGGAGUACCAGAGAGACAAAUUUGGGGGUGAGUAUCCCGAUCAAAGAAUCCGCGGUGAGUAGACUAUUACCCAGCAGUAGGGUGGGUGAUCCGGCGUGGGUUGCCGCUGUUUCCGCACGGCCCCUACCGGCGGCGGCGUCUUCCCCUCCUCAUCCGUCGCCUUGCUCCGCUUCGCUGCUUGCCCCGCGUCCACCUCGACGCCGUCGACCAUUGCUGGUUAGAGGGAAGAUCGGGUCCCGCCGGCCGUCCGGGAGGGAGACGAAGGAAAGAAGAGGAGGGGUUUAACGGGGAGAGGCGAGAGACUGCGGCCGGUGGCUGUCCUUGUGGUUGGGCUGGGCUCUUCCGUCUUCCCUGCUGUUCUGCUGUGCCUGUGCUGCCUUUGAUGGGCGGUCUGGCCUGGGAAACCCAACUUUUUGUGGACCAAAUUGCCCUUGGUCAUUGUAACCUCUCCGGUUUUCCCCUCUGAUUUUUGCUGUUCACCCGGCGAUGAGUUGGUUACAAAUUUACAAUAGAGUCCCUCCAGAGGAGACUAAAAGGAUAAGUUACCCCAGUACAGAGGUGAGUCACGACCAAACAAAUCAGUCGCAGCCUCGCGACAGGCUAUCUGGGCCGAGAUACCGAUAUUCACCGGCCCAUUAGCCCAGGAGUAAUUGGGUUGCCUCUGAUUUUUCAUCCGCCAGCCCAUCCAUUACCUCAUGCUGUGAGGCCGUGUCAAAAAAAAAAAUCUAAUGCUGUGUGCUGAUUUGCUGUCGUCGUCUUUGUGGGAAAACAAGAAAAUCAACCAAGCAAAUGUAUGGCACAGAGCUAAGCAUCUCCAUGAGUGCCCAAAAAACAAAGUCCAAAAAAAAAAUCUGAUUUUAGCACCUUGCCAAAAAAUAUUGGGAGUAAAAAAGAACACCUUCUCCAACAGUCCCUAAAAAAUACUUGCCCCAAAACAUUUAAAUGGUGCCACAUCAUCUAGUGGUGGGCCCAGGCCCUGAUUUUUUCACCGGAUCUGACACCUCCUAUCAGCCAUUUUUCCUGCUCACGCAUCUUUUACUCGAUGGCCGCCUCCAUGCCUUGACAUAAUCCGCAGCGCCCUUGAUCUUGAUCUCGUAGAAGUCCUUAUAAUAGUUGUCCUGGUCAGUCUUAAAGGCAAAAGCUGUGAAACAACAGAUAGGCUCUACUCUAAUUUCAGCAUUUUCCAUAGCAAUAUUUGGACUUCAUGCAAAUCAUACUCUUUCUGAGUUGGAACUCCACUUUCAGAAAUAAACAAGGAAAAUGUAGUACUACUGCAUCACAGUUCAUUCGAUAAACUGAUUGGCACAGUUACUAGCUGCUACGAGUCUACGACAAACUAAUCAGCAUAAUCCUUUUUCACAUUGUUUGGUCAACAUUUGAGGAACUGAUUGAGAUGGAAGUAAUAAAACAACAAUCAAACAGGUACACUAUGACUGAACCUUAUAACUGAAUAUGGGAACUAUCCUCUCCUUUUUGCAGUCAGUGAGACAUCUAUUAUAGGAAAAUCAGUACAUCCAGUAGAGCAAAAUCAAAACAGCUAAUCAGUGCAAAUCCGAGAUUAACACCAACAAGAGUACUUGAUAGAGUAGUUCGGUCUGGCAAGUGAUUAAAACAAUGGAACUUCAGGAACUGGUCAUGGAGAUGUACAGGAAUCGGCUCAUUUUUACGUGAUAUAUAAUUUUUUGCCACUAUUAGAGGGGUAAGUGGGAACAGAUUUGCCACUAUGUGAGAGGAGUGAAUGUGAGAGGGGUUAAGUGAACAUCACAUGCAGUGGCAAAAAAUUAAAUAGCCCCAUUUUCACCUGGACAGGCUGUCGAGGGAGGGGAUCUCGCAACCAUCGACGGGAACAACUUCGAUUCAAAAGGACAGCGUGCGUUGGGUGGAGGGGAGGAGGGGCCGUCGAUGAAGGAGCCGCCGCUGUGGACGAAGGGGAUCCGGCGCCGGUGGACGGACGGGAGCUGCACCGUGGACGUACAGGAGCUGCGCGCGUGGAUGGAUGGAAGGCGGUGCCGGUAGCCCAGCGCGAUCUUGACGGGGGGCGCGGCAACCAGGAUGGAUUCACUACUAAAAAAAUGUCUCAUCUCUAGCGGUCACUUUUAGACUCGGUACUAAUGUUAGCAUUAGUACCGGGUCCAAGUUUGGGGUCGCCCGAAGGCCCUCUAGUACCGGGUGGUCUCUGGCACCGGAUGGAGCCCCCACCCGUUACUAGAGCCCUCCCUCCAUCCGCGCAAUUUAUUUUUCUCCUUUUUUUCCCCUCGAGGCGCGGCCCUCCAUCGCGGCCUCCUUCUCACUCCGGCGGCCCUCCUCUCUGGUCCUUAUCUUCUCCUUCUCACUCCCUCCGUCCUGGCCUGCUUCCUCUCCCAGCUCACUCUGGCGCCCUUCCUUUCUCCCUUCCUCUCUCCCUCCCUCUCUCACUUCGCCCGCCCCCUCUGCCUCCCCUCCCCUCCCCCCUCCGCUUGCCCCUCACUGACGGUGAGGAGCAGCGGCGGGGCGAGGUGAGGCGGCGGCGCAGAUAGGCAGCAGCGGCGGGAUGGCUCGAGCCCCCCCCCUCUCUGUCUCCAGGAUGCAGCGACGGGAGGGCGGGGGCGAGGGGAUGCGGCGGGCGGACGAGGAGGAGGUGAAGGGGGCCGACGGCGGGCGGCGGAGGAGGAGGAGGGGGCCGGCGGGCGGAGGAGGUGGAGGGGGCUAGCGGCGGGCGGAGGGAGGAGGAGGCGGAGGAGGGGGCCGGCGGUGCGUGGAGGAGGGGGCCGGCGGCGAGUGGAGGAGGCGGAGGGGGGCGGCGGCAGGCGGAGGGAGGCUCGGGCUGGCUGGGGGAUUUUCAUUUUUUUAAUUUUUUAACAUCCUUUAGUAAUAGUUAUUCCAACCGGUACCAGAGGACCCCCUCUAGUACCAGAUUGCACAAGCGGUUCUAGAGGGGGUUAGGAACCGGUACUGGAGUUUUUUUUUUUUUAGUGAUUGGAGGGUGCGUUCUUGUAAAAAAUAGCGCGAGGGGAAGGGAAAACGCAAGGAAGACGCGUGGGAACCGAGAAACGGCGGGCACCGGCCGCAAAAUUCGGGAUUGGGAGCGCCCAGCGCCGGCGAAAAUCUGGCUCAGAAUGGCGCUGGUUUUGGGUGCGCGUAAAAAUUGGGCAAGCAAUUGGGCUACUGUUGGAGAUCACAGUUUCGUGCCCAAAAAUAAUUAUUGGGAGUAUUUUUUGGACACUCUAUGCUCUAUGAAAACAUCGCUCGCCAUGUCGCGAGCAACAAACAAAAGCCAAGAAUUUGACCACCAGGCAGCGUCGUGGUCGGCUGGUUGCGUCGGCGUUCCAGGUCUCCACUCUCAACUGGUACCUGUAGGCUGCAGGUCUCCCUCUCCUGUCUUCCACCACCUCUUGCACAGUUUGCACUUGCUGUGAGCGGGUGCGAGACUGCGGGCGGCAUGGACGGACCGAGGGGUCCCGCGCCUGGGCGUGGGCGGACGGCGCCGCACGGAUGGGCAGGCGAUUCCGGGUCCGGGCAGGGCUCCGGCCCCGACGGCUCUUGGAGUUGCGGCUGGGGAUGGGCCUCGGGCCCCGGAGGUGGCUGGAGCUACAGCCACGGCUCCGCGCAGGGCCCCCGCGGCGCUGCAGACGGCGCCGCGUACGGGUUCGGCUACGGCGGCGGCGGUGGCGGUGGAGGAGGAAGCGGGCGUGGGGGGUUCGGGUUCAGCUUCGACGGCCCCGGCGGCGCGGGCGGCUUCAGCUGGGGUGCCGGUGGCGGGGCGUUUGGGACCGGAGGUGAUCACACGGGUCACGGCGGCUGGAGAGCGCGCGGUGGGUUCGGCGGCGGCGGGAGGCAGCUGCGACCACCGCCGCAGUGUAUUUCUUACUACUAAUAAUACGCUAGUACACCUGCAUGCAUUCCUGGCUCUAUUGCGUAGAGAUACUGGUUCCAGCAUCUCUGGUUUCAUGCUGUGUCUGUAAAGACUAACAGCAAAGCAAGAACACCUUUCCUUUAGUCUGUAUAUAUUUUGUUGGCAAUACUUGGUAUAUAUACGCAGCGAGUUACUGAAACUCUAUACAGAAGAAUCAACAUAGAACAUAUGCUUAUUCUCUUUUCCUUUUCUUUUUCCGGAGGUACAAUCAUAGCCCGGUAAAAACGGAAGAAUCAACAUAGAAAAUACGCUUAUUCUCUUUUUUUUUUCUUUUUCUGGAGGCACGUGAAUCAUAGCCCGGUAAAAACGACUGCAACUCAGGUUCCAAGCUGUUGCAGAUGCCUAGGAAAAGAAGUUCCUAGAAUAUAGAAUAACUCGUACCAUUUUGUAGAAGAUAGAGGAACCGCAACUCUACAAGGGAGAAGCUCUUGUCAUUUCAAUAACAGCGUGCGAUCAAAAUCAUCUCCGGAGCUACUCUGGUUCUCAAACACAUAACCUCAGGUGCCCAGGUCCAACAGCAUACAAAUCAUAGAGGCCUAGAGCAUUCAGGUCGCAGAGGAAAACCUGAGCCGCAGUCUUCAAUGGAAAGGGGAUGGUUCAGAGAAACACACCCUCUGAAGUAAAAAACUUUAACAUUCAGAAGUACUCAUUGUAAAGCGCGAGGACCAUGCCGUCCACCCCCCGCUCCCACCGCCACCGCCGCCGCCGCCCCGCCCCCAGUCGGCGAGAGCAGCACAACCCUCCUCACCGCGCAUCCUACGCCGCAGCAGCAGCCCUAGCUACCAAGCACCCCACCCGUCACGCCGCGCACCCUCUCCCCCUCGGAGAGAUUCUUCUCUGACUCCUCGCCACCACCGCCCUGGCGCGGCCGGCCGGCGACCAUUGACGACAAGUUCGUGCCGAAAACUCUAGAUCCACGGGCCACAACACCGGAUCUACAACCUGUGCUGAAGGAUCUUCCCCCUGCCAUGCCGAUUUCGCGGAUCUCAUACGCCGAAGCUGUCAGGCGGGGAGGCUUCAAUGUCCAUCCCGGCUCAGUGGCGCAGCGCCAUCAAGAAGCCAAGCGCGCCUCUGACCCCGAGAGAAGCACUCACUCCAGCGAUAGGACAAGGCCGCAGCGCAUUAACUCCGCUGCCGCGGCAAGGACGGGCCGUGCCGGGGCCCUGCGCCAAGCGCCUGCAAGCCACGCCGCUCAAGCCCUGCCUCCGCUGUCUACAGUGCGCCAAGAAUGGGUGCUAGUGACGUGCCGCAGAGCGCAUUCACAUUGAGCACCGCCCAAGCAAUUCCGACAAGACGGUGGACAUAGCGGCGGAAAUGACCAGCGCCGCAGGGAGACUUCAAGAAGGCCAACUACCAGGGCUUUGUGCGUCUUCAUCCAAGAAGACUGCCAGAUGCUGCUUCAAAUGUCUCGCCUAGACCAUUGCGCGGCCGCAUGCCAUGACCCACAGGUGUCACCACUCCGGCCACAGACAGCGCCAUUGCAAGGCUCCACGGCCCUCCGCCGCACCGCGAACCUCUGCCGCCGCCUACCACCGCCCGGCAGCAUGGAAGCGCCCACUGCCUCGUCAGUUGAACCACCAGCACCCUCCACCACCGCAUUCCCUGCCACUGCUUUCCCCACACUGCCACUGUCCAAGCCACCAACACCUCCUUAGGAAUCUUGCGCCCUCAUCCUGUAGGCGCUCCACCUGCCACCAGAUGCUGGAGCGCGGGACAUCCCUGACCUCAUCACUCGAGAGCUCCACCUGCAACCAGGGAAGGUCUCUGUCACGCUUCACCAGCCGGAGCCCUACCUGAUUCGCUUUGAGCAUGCCGCCGACGCGGCUGAGGUGCGUCGCCACGGGCGCUUCACCGGAGGAGGCAUGAACAUCUGCCUCCAUACCUAGCGCAGCCUCACGCAUGCUUUCGGCUUCCGCAUCUUCUACAAAGUGCGCCUCUGUCUCGACGGCAUCCUGUCUCAUGCCUGGACGCCGAAGAUCGUCGAGAGGGUCGUUGGCCACAAAUGUGCACUACAGUGCAUCAUCACCGACCUCAUCCAACUGGCGGACUCAAGGCACAUCGGGCUGUGGGCGUGGACGGCGGACCCGAGCGAGAUACCCAAGAAAGUGUGGCUCGCCUUCACGCACAAGCCGGCGAACAAAUCCUCGGCUUUCUUCGUGUCGGCCGAGCAAACGCCGGAGUCAUGGCAGUAGGGCGCCUGCUACGAGGUCUUUAUCCACAUGUCGCUGCUCGAGGACUACACGGCGGCCGCGCGCAACCUCCAAGAGGUGGUCGAUAACCCAGCGAGUAUCACUCCGAUAUGCUGGAGAUACGAGUGGCGCUACGACCUUGUGGACGGCGCGCUGCCGGAUGCCCGUUCGUGCCUCCCAACCCACCUGCCUCAGCCGCCACGGGAGCCAGAGGGGCGGGAUGACGGUGAUGGCCGCUGGGAGAACGGCGGUCAUGGGUGUGAACGGCGCACCAACGACAACCACGGCGCCAGGUGUGACGCUCGUGGUCCUGACGAUGCGGGGGACGGGGAGCGCAAUCGUGGACUACACGUGCGUCGUGGCCCAAAGGACGACCGCAAGCAACGAGCGACCCGGAGCAAUUGCAAUGAUUAAGGCUUCCUCUUGCCGCCACGUCGGGGAGACGACGACGACGGCCACGACUACGAGCACCCGGGACACGGGCGCAAGUAUGGUGACACGUACUGGGGCAGCUCGGAGCUAGUUCGCUGGGACCACACCAGGUCCCCCCCUCCGCACCGCGGCACGGGAGACGUCACGACAUGAGCGAAGAGGGGCUGAGCAACAUGCCUCUUGCUCAGCUGCAAGCCCUCUUCGUGGCCUAGGCAAACGCCUUGAAGACCUACAUGCAAGGAUAGGUAUUCACCAUGCCUCUGGCUACAUCUAACAUCGUGGAUUUGGAUGCCAGGAAGAACAGUUGCCUCAUCACUACCUAUGACUAAUCCGCAAGGCCUCCUGGCUUGCUGACCGCCUGGGCAUUGCAGACGCCAACGGGGGGAACCAAGCCUGAUCCGAACCAGUCCCGGUGUUGCAUGCCUUCAACACGCUACGAGCGGCGCUACUCUCGGCACCUCCGCCUUCGACGGUCGCUGACGUCGACCAGGCACUGGACAUGCUGUUUCUGGGCACCAACCGAGUCUCACCAACAGGCUCGGCGGCGACCCGCUACAACCAGGCAGGCCAGGGAGGGUGCUGCAUUGAUUCAGGGGCCACCUGUCCAUAGCGGCGGCCUGCACCGAAGCAAGUGAAGAAGCACACGUACAAGGCAGCGUGACCGGUGUGCUGGGAGAGGCAGCCCAUGCAGCUGGCGACCUUAGCUGCAUGGCCAACGAUGGCACCAAGAUGGGCCACAUGGACGUGCCUAGCCUGGCCGUGAAUGGGGAAGCCAGUGAGGCAGCCCAGGUUGUGCUAAUGGUCCAACAAGCGCUGGCAGCCCAGCAUGACGACGGGGAGCAACUCGUGGGCCAAAACGCACCCACGGGCCAGCUGGCUGGUGUGGCCUGCGAUGGGGGCGCGCACACGGGCUAGUUGCCGGGUGCGGCCCUCGACGGGGGCGCGCCCACGGGCUAGCUGCUGGGUGUGGCCCACUAUGGGCCACAAGCCAUGCAGGUUGCUGCCUCAGAAGUGCAUGUCCCAGACACCGGCCCAGGUGGAUCGCUGCACACGCCCAGCGUUGACGACCUGUUCCUGACUCCUGCACUGCCAGUUGUACAGCAGCAACCGGCACGACGCACGCGCCAACGCCACACCUUCGACAUGAAUGAGGUGCGGCGGAGUGCGCGACUGGGCAAGAAACCGGCUAUGCUGGCCAUAAAACGAGCCCAGCAGAACCUUUGGAGGAAGCUUGGCGUCGGCGAUGACAAAAUGGCGCCAAUUAAGCAAGUUCUGCAAUACUUCAUCAGCAUGUUCCAGGAGGCCCUACCAGAGUUCGUCAUAGCGGCCAUGACCGCCCUCUUCGAUCUCGACGAUGAUGCAACAGAAUAAAUGAAUGAUGCACUUCUAUAGAUGGUGGGCGUCGUUGUAGAAGAACUUUAUCAGGAGCGGCACAUGGCACCAUGAUGACCCAGACGAAGCACACUUCCUAUGCAUUUUACCCCCGCAUUAUGUACCGCUACUUUUAUGUAUCAUCAGUACCUCACCCUACUGGCUGCGACCUUCGGUCCAAACUCGUGAACUAUAAACUUUGCCGUGCUAGCCAUGACCUUCAGGCACUGCACUUGACGAUCCCCGAGACAAACAGCGUCAACACGCGCCACUCGACGACCUCCAUGAUCUACAUGAUAGACAGCGUCACAACGCGCUACUUCACCCCACGAUUCGUGACACCUGAGCAAGCGCAUGAAACUACACCCAGAUGAUCGGCAACUUUGAAAUAAUGUGCUGGAAUGUGAGAGGUCUCAAUGCUCCGGCUAGAUGUCUAAUGGUCCGCGAAACUAUUGCAACGACAACAUGUCACAUAGCAUGCCUACAGGAAAUGAAACUACAAAACAUCGAUGCAACUCUAGCUAACUUCUUGGGAGGACACCGCCUGAACCAAUUCACAUAAAAACCGGCUCUAGGCACAAAGGGAGGAAUCCUCAUCCUCUGGGAUGACAAGGUAAUUGACAUGCAAGACGUCCAAAUUGGACGUUUCACCAUUUUGGCAACAACGGUAGUAAAAUACAGCAACACACCCUUUCGACUCACGACAGUGUACGUCCCGUCAUGACAUGCUCCAAAACCUGCUUUCCUGCGACACCUACGAGCUAUGAAACCGGACGACGACACCAGAUGGCUUGUCCUGGGGGAUUUCAACCUAAUCUACAGCGCGAGAGAUAAAAAUAAUAGAAAUCUAAAUCGGCGAUUGAUGGGGAGUUUCAGAAAUGCACUCAAUUACUGUGGCCUAAAAGAGAUACAUUUUUAGAUGAGGAGGUUCACCUGGAGUAACGCCAGGCAUCGACCAAACAUUGACACGGCUCGACCGAGUUUUCUGCAAUGAGAGCUGGGAUCUAUACUUCGAUGAUCAUGUCCUACACGCGCUCUCCUCCUCACACUUAGACCACUGCCCCCUGCUAUUAGCACAACAAUAUGGGCCUAGAAGGCCAAUGCCCUUCAAAUUUGAAAAUUUCUGUACACGCCUCCCGGGCUUCUACGUAGUGGUCACCCGGGAAUGGUCCAAGCCGACGAACCACACUGAGCCUUUCCACAGAUUGGGGUACAAACUGUACACCACGGCCCGUGCGCCACGAUCCUGGAGCAUAUCAUUCAUCUCGGAUGCCAAACUGAACCUACACAUGGCCCAAGAGGUCAUCCUGCGCCUCGAUACGGUUGAGGAGACAAGAGCGUUAACAGAUGCAGAACACUCCUUGCGUCACAAGCUUAAAAGAAGGCUUUUGGGAUGGGCAGCUAUUGAAAAAGGAAGGAAAAAACAAUGUUCCAGAAUAAACUACCUACGCGAGGGUGACGCAAUACAAAGUUCUUUCACCUAAAGGUGAACGCCAGGAGAAGGAAAAACUUCAUCCAGAGGGUUAAAGAAAGAAAGUGUAUGGGGAAUAACCCACGAGGACAAGUAGAGGGUAAUUCAAGAUCACUUCGACAACAUGAUGUGCGCACCGCAGAAUCAAAACAAAGACCUAAACUGGGAGGUAAUAGAAUUUCCAGAGGUGGACUUAGGCGACAUUGACAGCCCCUUCUCAGAGGAAGAAAUACUACAAGCAAUUGCAGACCUGCCAAAGAACAAGGCGCUAGGACCGGACGGCUUCACUGGUCUAUUCUUCAAAUCAUGCUGGCACAUAAUCAAAGGCGAUGUCAAAGCGGCCAUUAACGCCUUCCACAACAUCCAUUGCAAAGACCUCAAUCUUGUCAACACAGCUAACGUAGUACUAAUCCCCCAAAAGGAAGGUGCCGAAAGCAUCCAAGACUUUAGACCAAUAAGCCUCAUACACGCGAUCGCCAAGAUCAUCAACAUAAUCCUAGCGCUACGCCUAGCGCCUUUUAUGGAAGCGCUAAUAUCGCCAUGCUAGAGUGCCUUUAUAAAAGGAAGGAGCCUCCACGACAACUUCUUGUACUGUUAAUGGCAUGUCGAUUCCACAGGAACGAAACACCUGCACUGUUAAUGAAGCUGGAUAUCUCAAAGGCCUUUGACUCGGUGCGUUGGGAUUACCUACUAUCACUGGUGCAGCGCAGAGGCUUCCCCACAAGAUGGCGGGACUGGAUUGUGACAAUGCUAGCCACAUCAACCUCAAAAAUUCUACUAAACGGCUUCCCGUCUGACCUGAUUGCGCACGGACGUGGCCUACGACAAGGAGACCCAUUGUCCCCUUUUCUCUUCAUCCUCACGAUCGACCCGCUAUACCAGCUGAUACACAAAGCAACGGACAUGGGACUACUGAGCAAGCUGGGAGUGCGAGUAGCACGCACCCAUAUCUCAAUGUACGCUGAUGACACAGUCAUCUUCAUAAAGCCAACACCUGCGGACAUCGCUAACACCGCAAAAAUGUUGCGCCUUUUCGGAGAGGCAACUGGACCAAAAACAAACCUUCAAAAGACAAUCGUGGCUCCCAUUAGCUGUGAGAGUGUUGAUAUGGAGGAAGUCCUAUCAGAACUGCUGUAACUCGAACAGUCUUCCUAAUAAGAUACCUCGGACUCCCUCUAGAGAUAAGAUGACUAAAGAAACUCGACUUUCAACCUCUGAUUGACAAAGCAACAAACAAGCUGUCAGGAUGGCACGGCCGCAAACUCAGCCAAGUAGGACGAGCUUGCCUCACCAAAGCGGUACUAACAGCACAACCGCUAUACCUACUAAGAGUAAUCAAAACGCCAAAUAAAGUACUUGAGGACCUCGACAAAAUAAGGAAAAGAUUUCUGUGGGCAGGAGACAAAGCACUCACCGGUGGGAAAUGCAAGAUAAAUUGGGUCAAGAGUUUCCUACCGAAAGUAAAUGGAGGGCUAGGUGUGCUUAAUCUUCACAAGUUCGCAAGAGCACUAAGACGAUGGCUUUGGCACGAGUGGGAGUCACCGCAAAAAACGUGGAUUGCAAUGGAGACACCAUGUGAUGACACGGAUCGCCUUUUGUUUGUGGCAUGCACAAGCAUCACAAUGGGGAACGGGCAGAAGACGAGCUUCUGGCACUCGGGCUGGGUGCAAGGCAUGAGACCAAAGGACAUUGCGCCAAACAUCUAUGGAUCUCCAAAGGGAAAAAAAGAUGUCAGGCGGAGGUCAUACAGGGGAACAAUUGGAUCAGAGACAUAAACAUACACGCCGGAGUAACAACAAUGCACCUGCAAGAAUUCACGGUGCUUUGGCGACUAACUACAGAGAUCCAACUGCAAUUGCAACAGGAGGACAUCAUUUGUUGGAAAUUUACGUCGAGUGGGAAGUACUCAGUGGCCUCGGCAUACAAAGCACAGUUCUUUGGAUCUACCAAAGCACCGCAUAACAAAACACUUUGGCGCUGCUGGAUGCCGCCGAAGUGCAAAUUCUUUGCGUGGCUGAUAUUACAAAACCGAGUGUGGUCAGCUGAUCGGCUCGCAUGUAGGGGAUGGCCACACUCCCCUACAUGCCCCUUAUGCAGAUGCCAAGAAGAGGCAGCACAUCAACUACUGGUCGAAUGCAGAUUCACCAUGAGAAUUUGGAGCCUGGUGACGGAAUGGACGACACAGCCAAGCAUACGCAUCUCAGAAUGGCGACAAAGCAACUGAUGGGUGGAUAAACAUGACCACUAAAACAGAAGCCCUCAGGAAGGGAACGUGCUCCAUGGCACUGUUGAUCAUAUGGGAAAUUUGGAAGGAGCGGAAUAGGCGUGUAUUCAAUCAAGAAGAGAUGGCAGCCAUCACAUUGGUGGCAAAAAUCAAGGAAGAAGCGGGAGCGUGGAUAACAUCAGGGGCAAAGGACUUAGCGUUAUUUUUGUUUAAAGAAUAAUCGUGUAAUUACGUGUACCCUAACCGGUUAUCCGGCUGCAACUCUUUCUCUAUCAAUAAAAUAGUCACAAUCUCGUGCCCAUUUGAUCAAAGAAGUACUCAUUGUUUUCACAAGCAUUUAGCUCGGUCAAGUUAUCCAUGUUGAGUUGUUAUUUUCUUUGGCUAUUUAUUAUUCCUAAAAAUUGGUUCAGCAUUUUAUCUGUUCAAUUAUUGAGUUUGCAGUUGCAUUUGAACUUGAAAAGUGAAAACAAAGGUAACAAAUACACGUAUUCAAUCAUACCUUUGCAUUCAUGUUGUUAUCUGACAUCAUCGCACCUGCAUGUGAGCUUAUAACCGUAAAGCCCAAUGUGGCAAUGUGCAUAAGUCAUGCUUUCAGGACAAGUAAAACAUGCAAAUUCUGAACAAACUCAACAACAGUACGCCUUUUAAAACCAGUUACAGGGCAGACUCAUGUUGAGGGCAUUCUAGCCGAUCAUUGGCCAUUGAAGUGUCCAGAACUUGGCGGUUUUGGAUUUAAAAGUCAACUUGAAAUCCACUAUGAAUCUUUGCUGGUGCUUUGAAAUGAGCGAAGUUGCCAUCUUUCUAGAGUAAUAGGGUAUUAUCAUGACCUCAAAAGCCUAUUCUUGUGAUGUAGGGAUUUUCCAUGUUUAAAAAUGGUGCUCUAAGAAUUUCUAUAUACACGAAAAAUGCUCUAGGAAUAGGUAGCAUUAAUGUUUCAAAAUGCUCAAGGACCAUCCUAGUAGUUCCAAUAAAAUAUUGCAACUUGCGGAGGUCGGACAAAGUCGAGAAAAAACUGAAAUCAAAAGGGCAUAUACAAUAGUAUCGUGCUGGUGUUAUUAUUAAUCAAAAUGAAAUGUAGGGAACAGUUCAAUAGACAAUAAGUAAGGGCAAACGAAGUUAGAAUUUUCAAAUAAAAAUAGUGAAAUAUGUAACAUUUUCAUUUCAUAUUGCAAAUCAUCGUUUGACUGAGCUAUUGCAACAUUAUUGCCCAUGAUAAAAAAUUAUCGUGCCCUUGGACAACAGUCACAGCAUGACCACAGAUUAUCCUCAAAUGUAAACUGAUGGUAGUUAAGCAUAGAGCAACCGAUAAGGAAUGGAAAUUGUUGAAAAGGAAAUUCCACAUAAACUUAUUAGCAUGUAUACGUGCACAGCUGUCUUCAUAUUUAAAAGUUAGACAUACAAAAUAACAAAUAGGGUGGAAGAGAAGGAAAAACCUUACCCCAUUGGCAACCAAGCAUUGAUGUCUAUCAUACACUUGUAGCCAUAAAAUCAUCUAAAAGCAGACUCAAUGAAACAAGAUCAGCUAUGCCUAAAAAAAAGCACAUUCAAAAAUCUAAACUUAAUACAACCAGCCAUCACACUCCACUGAGCCACAAAGGCAUUUUUUCUUCUUGAUGUUACCAUUGGCAUCAUGUACCUGAUCUAUUUUAUAGUUGUAGUGGUAUGCUAGUUCUUGACGGGGUCGAAUAUCAUCGCAAGCAAAGAACAUGACAUGAGGCACACUGAUGUCUUCAUGAUCAUAGAGGACGUUUUGUGCAUAGAGGUUGGGGGUGCAACUAUGAUUGAUAAAUUUUGCGAAGUUCCCCAUCUCUGAAGCAUCAACAGCAAAUCCAGCUUCAUCAUCUUUACCCGGACCCUUCUGAAGUGAGGGUAUUGAUCUUGAUAGACCCUCCCAAAGAGAUUCGUCAUAAUAAUUGUGUCCAAUAGCAAAUAAGUACUCGUCAGUCGUCCUUUUUUGUGCCUCCUCAUCCUCCAACACUUCCCCUAUAUAUUCACAAACAAAGCUUCCAGAUGGUAUGAAGUCAAGAGUUCUCACACCCCAACCCAUUGAUUUUGUUUUGAAGACUUGCAGCCGAAACUUGAGGCCAUGUUGGCCAACUCUGUUGCGACAUGUAGGAGGGCACUUGCAAGAAGGCCCACACUCAUAAACUAGAGGUUUUGCUUCUACAAUGCGGCCUUUAUCAUUGAAAGGGAUUUCUCCACCAUUUUUCACAGCACAUGCACACUUUUUUGAGUCUGAGCAUCCGCCUACACAACCACAACCUGCUGGUGGAGUUGGCCGAUAGUUACGGGGAUAUUGAAGGCGUGAAAUGUAGCGAUAGGGCAUUGGGCACUCAUUGGAUAUUUUGUUAACAACAGAUACAGGGACCCUCUCCAAUCCUCGGGAUAGAUCUUUGAUGAUGACACUAUCAUUUGGUCCAGAUUUUCCUGAUUGCAGAAUUUCUUUGAUGUCAAUGUGUUUCUGUCCUUCAAUCCUUCUCAGUCGGAACAUAUAUACAUAACGGUCUCCAUGCUCUUUCUCCCUCCAGUACUUCUCAACAUGGUAUAAACCGCCAUAUAUAUAAGUAGGAAACUUCUUUUUUCCAUUAGCAGUGGUGAACCCAUGAAUAACACGGACUGGUGUAUUAGUGUCCAUGCUCUUUUUAAGUGCCAGGUUGGUACCCUCUAUCUUCUGAUUGACUGUAACUGCCACCGAACCAGUAUACACCAAGACAUCCAGAUUAUACUUGAUGUCAGAAGAUUGUGCAUAAGAUACAAUGCUAAUAGCGACACUGGUCCCAUCAUGUUUCUUGGUAUGAUCAAUACCUAACCGGUGUGGGCGAUGGAGACCAACAACACAAAGCUCUACCCUCAAAUGAAAGAUAUCACCAGGAUAUAUUCCAGGCACACUGCCAAUGUAUUUCUUAUCAUCACACUCUGUGGAGAACCGCUCCCUGAAAAUUCUGUAAGCCUGUAGAUCAGGUCGCACGUUAAGCACUUCUUCCCUCGAAUUGUCUUCUUCUUCAUCCAAAAGAUCCCGAUAAAUUAACCGGAAAUCCUGUAGAGACCGCAUGAUGCUUUCUCUAACGAUGACACCUCCAUUAUUUGGCAUUGCUUUAUCCUGAUCAUCAUUAUUGGUUUUCCUCUUCUUAUAUCCAGAACCAGUCUCAUUUUCACCUUUUACAGAGAAGUCACGCAUAGCUGAAACUCUAACACCAGAAUGAGCACUUGCAUAAUACCGCACACUGCUUCUAGUUGCUGGAGCGCACUGUGUUGAACUGUCAUCAAACCUGAAUACUGGAAGAUCAGGAGAUCCAUUAUCGGAGCCAAAAGCUUUGGAGAAUGAUCGCUUGUACCCAACCUGGAAUCUCCAUGGCACGACUGCCUUCCGCCCCUUGCGGCAAUAUAUUCCAUUACCAUUGUUACCAGGAGUUGCCAAACUGCAACCUUUGGCUGCUGCAUUACUCUUCUUGGCCGCCCCAUCAUCUGUACCACACUCCUUUGCAGUGUGACAAGCGGAAUCUCCCAACCCAACAUUUCUCUCUGGGUCCUCCAACCUGAGAUCUGAAGCAGAACAACCAUUGCUCUUUAGUCGAGUCUGAUCCACAAAAGACUCCUUCAAACCCUGGGAAAAGCUCUUCUCCACUCCUACAUUGCUUCCAACCUCAGGUUCACGAGCUGGUCCAUCACCGGUACCCCCUAAAUCCUGUGUGCCAGCAUCCUUCACACUACCAUCACAAUUGGAGCUCCCCAAAUUGCAGUCCUCACCAGUUUCGACACCGAUGUUAGCGCCCCUGCUAUUUUCAGCACCUUCCAAUCCGGAGCUCUUCACCCCGCCGUUGCCCAGAUUGCAAGCAUUUCCAGGUACAGGGCGACCCCCAUUAUCCACACCAGGGCUCUUCAAACUCUGACUAGGAGUGCAUCCUUCCGAUUGCUGCUCUCCUCCACCAACUCCCCCGCUCUUGCCGCCGCUCGGCGCCCCACCCGAUCCGCAAUUUUCCGCGUCCCGGACGCUGACGCUCUCACCGCCGGCGUUCGGCGCCCCACCCGAUCCGCAGUUUUCCGCAUCCGGGUCGCCGACGGUCUCCCCGCCGCCGCCUCUGGGCGCUGCGGCGGCGGCGUGCUUGAGCGGCUCCCUGACGAAGCCGCGCUGGAAGCGCCAGGGCACGAGCACCUUGUACCUCCUCGGCCCGGCCGCCCUCGGUGGCACCGCCGCCGCCCCCAUCUCCAUCCGCCGCCGCCUCUGCUCGGACUCACCCGCCGGCCCCUCCGAAAUCCUCUGCCCCCUGGACGCGGAUUGAAAAAACAGAAACAUGCGAUGCCUAAGGUCCCAGGACGAAUCGGACGGAAGGGGAAAAACCAAGCGGGCGAAGAGCCGGUAGGCCGGAGGUCUCCCCGAUACGUACCUGGAGGCGGCAACUACCCGCCGCGCGGGCGAGGCGGGGCGGGGUGGGGCGGUUCCGGGACGGGCGGGGAGUAGAGAGCGGCGGUACUGGUGGAGGAUUUCCUUCCCGUAACGGUGGAGCAGACAGCAGAGAGGGGGCUCGGCUGGGGCAGUGGGUCUUCCUCUUCCCCUCUCAAGGCCCUCAAGGCUCAAGCAGUCAAGCGAUGAUGAAAGGGUCGCGCGGCGAUGGGCUCUGCCCGAGGGGAGCCGGGCGCAGUGGUGGAGUGACUUGUUGCUGAGCGCCUGUUCUGAUCGGCUGCGGUUUUAUGGCGUUGCAUUAAAGUUACAAAAGGAUCCAAUUUUAUUUUGUGUAGUACGCGCUACGCGGUGGGUGGGUGAGUUCUCCGAUUUGGUCCUGGACUGGCUCAGGAUUGAGGAGGAUUUGGCCCUGUUCAUAGAUUUGGAAGUCGGAUCGCGUUAAACUGUGUCGUGUAGAUUGUCUUUAUAAACACAACGACCUAUUGUAGUUAGAAGGAUUUUCCUUUCCUCGCAAAAAAAAAGGAAAAAAUUCCUUGAUAUUGAAUGAAUUGGUACAUAUUUCCCAAUAAGAAGUUAUUGAUACAAAAUAUAUCUUAAGAUCGUGCCAAACAAUUUGUAUACGACAAAAAUAUUUAGUCUUUUUUGGGCAUCUGGCUUGUUAGAACCACAAUUAUUUUAGCUAUGUUUUUCCCUUCUCAAGAAAACUAGAGAAAUGAGCGAUUAGCAGGCUGACCAUCGAGGGCUUUAAUUGCACUUGCACGCUUCUCUUUCCAGUGACGGAUGUGAUAGUUCCUGGUCGAUUGAAAAAUUAGGUCAUGUUUAGUUCCCUCCAAACUCCCAAUUUUGAUACUAUGCAAAAGGAAGAUUCCCCAUCACAUCAAACUUGCUGUACAUGCAUGGAGUACUAAAUGUAAACGAAAUCAAAAACUAAUUGCACAGUUUUGUUGUACUUUGCGAGACGAAUCUUUUGAGCCUAAUUAGUCAAUAUUUGGACAAUAAUUCACAAAUACAAACGAAACGCUACAGUGUUGCUACAGUAAUUUUGGCACCCCAAAGUUGGGCAACUAAACAAGGCCUUAGUUGAGUGCCAAUGUGUUGCUAGGCUUUCAAAUAAGUAAAGGCGCGCUUUAAUUGCACGCUUCUCUUUUAAUUGACGGAUGUGCUGGUCAACCGAAAAAUAAGUGAAAACUAGUUGAGUGCCAAUACACCUACUCCCUGUCCCUUAAUAUCAGUCGUCGUGGGAAGCGUGCUGGUCAAACUUUUUAAAUUUGACUACACUUGUAGAAAAUAUUAGCAAUAUUUAUAUUUUUAAAUAAAUUUAUUAUGAAAAUAGAUUUAACAAUCUAUCUAAUGAUACUAAUUGUGUAUCAUAAAUAUUAAUAUUUUAUUAUAUAUAUUUGGUCAAAGUUGAUUACGUUUGAAUUCUCAGGAAGUGAGAACGAGAGAGAUAAUAAGGGACGGAUGGAGUACGUUGCUAGGCUUCCAAAUAAACGAAGGCGUGGGCAACCAGAGGAGCACAAGUUCCAUUGAUGAAUGAUCAUUCUUUUCGAGAAUAAUUGAUGAAUGAUCCAGGCGAUGGUUUCCUAAAAACAAAGGGAGCGUAGUAGCGUUGCCCGCCUGAGUUUUGCAAAACAUGGCGCCGGGUUAGAGGCUUAGAGCAAAGCGCUCACGCUGCUCCCGUCUUUAUACAAAUCCAGGAGCCAGUGAUAAUCUGCCUGUGGCAUCACGUUAAUUAACGAGCCGUGCUCCUCCGGUAUCAGAAAACGAGAAAAAAAGAUAGUCCUUGUAACCGAUGGAAACCGCUGCCAGUUUCCCCUGCUUCGCGGGGGCUGUAACAGAUGAUUUGUCGUGUGGUGGACGCAGAGUGCAUGCCGGACGCGUUGGCGUUGCCGACCGAGUUUUGCAGGCCGGGCAGAUAGUCUCAGUCAGUCAGCACAACGGCAUGCGCCGGGAUGUGUAACCACGCAGGUUUUGGCUUUGCUCGGCUCAGGCACUCGUCAGUCGUCACGAUCCCAACAGUAAUUUGCUGGACCCGUCAAUUCCGUUGGACGAUGCCGCCGCUUGCUCGUGCAGCCGUGCUUCGUCUCUACUCGGAUGCGAUUUUCCUUUUACUCCUGGCAGGCAUGUGCACGCACGAGGCACACGACGCACCAGGACGAGACUACCAGAGAGGAAGGUAGCUGCGUCUGCGUGCGCGAAACACCGUGGAAACGUGUGGUUGGUUGCCUGGUGAUCCUACCUACUGCCUCAACCAGAUCGAUCGGGUGAUGAGCAUACUAUACGGAGAGUGCACAUUUUAUAUCGUUCCCCUUUCGAUUCUUUCGAUCUCCAGAUGUGAACAACAACAAGAAAAGAGCAUUAUAUAUAGGGCACCUUAGCAAGCUAAAGCUAAUUAAGCACUUGUGGUCGACAGCAAACCAAUCGCACACUCCAUGCUUGCUUCCAAGCAAGCACGCCUGUACUGUACACGGGCAAGUGGACACACACGGCUGCUUGCUUGGAAGCAAUCUCUGUACCCGUCUCUACGCAGCUAGCUGCUGCUGAGAACUACCGCUGGCGCUGCUGCUGGUGGCGCCGUCGUCUUCAGACAGGCAGCAGCUGUGCAGCCUUGGGCCGGCGGCAGCAGGAGUCGUCAUCGUCGUCGUCGUCGGCGUCUUGCCCAGCUCCAGGGACAGCAUCUCGGCCUGGAGGACGGUGCAGUAGUGCCCAAACGUCUCCGGCGACACGUUGAGGUCGAACCCGACGGCGAACAGGAAGUCCACCUCCAGGUAGUUCAUCUCCGGCAGGCUGAUGCCGCCGACCCUGGCGAAGUAGGCGUUGUUGUAGCGCCUGCGAGAGGUAACGCGUAGCCGUCAGGUCGAAGCUUGUCUUCAGAAAAUUCAGAACCAGGCUUAUUAGUAGUGCCUGCCAGCAGUGGGCUACCUGACAUGCACCAAACGUCCAAACCAGAUGGGCCAAGGAUAGGCAUCACCGAACCAAUUCAUUUUAGAAUGUCAAAUGGCCAGUUGAGUAAUGGUUUGAGACUUAAGCGAAGAAAGAUGUCACUCCGAUGGACAAUUGGGUAAUUUGCUUGUGAAUGGGACAGUAGGGUUCAGUUCAGAUAUGAUGCUCUUGGCAGGAGAGAAUUGGGCCACUGAGCAUCAGCAUGGGGCAAGUUGCCAAUGUCCCAGUCUAAUUCUAUCGCACAACUUGGCCAAUGGGUUAAAUUCCAAAGCGAGGAAAGGUUGUGAGAGGGACAUGAGGGUGAGGACUGAGGAUCUUUAUCCUAUGUUUUUGGGCCCCCAGUGCAUCUGUGGCUGACUUGGCUGUAUGGAAGGAACUGGAUGAGCAUAUUUUCUUUGUUGGGCACGCAUAAUUUUCCCCAUAUAUUAUAACCUUAAAAAAGGGGCCAACUCAACCUCAACAGAGGAUAAUUAGAUAAUACUUGGUGUAGGCUUAAUACACAAAGUUGCUGCACUUUUCAAUGGUCAGUCUCUCAAAUGUAACGUGUGGUGUUGUCAUAGUUGCUGCAUUUUUCAAUUGCCAGUGCAUAGAAUGCAGGUACAGCAAGUACCAGUUAGAAUUUAGGCAGCAAGUUGUUGAGCUCUGUUCCUUGAAGAAUUUGCUCUGCUAACGCAUCCUACUUGGCUUUGGAUUUUCAGAACUGAUGGCUAUCGUAUCUCAUCAGAGAAUUCCAUAUCCAGAAGACCCAAUUCACCAAUCCUAUUUGUCAUGGCUUCAAUAGAAGCCGUCUGCAUUAUGACAUCGACACCGAUUUGAGAGUGGACAAAACUCUGUUAGUACACUAUUCCAAAGCUGGGGUUCACAACUUCACAUGAUAGUGUUAACUCUCAAAUCUCAACUAAUACCUGGACGACAGUGGUUUAUACAUACUACCUUGCAAAAGUAAGCAAGAUAGUACUGUUGUUGCGUAUGAAGACUCUGUAUUUCUUAGUAACUGUAUCCGAAUUCCUCUCGUAGCCUACCCAACUUCUGCCUCCUGAACUUCAUACAGUUCAAGGACACGGAUCCUACAUUUCUGCUUGUGGGCUGUUCCGGCUGUUUCUGUAAGGUGAGAAUUCAGGUGUGGAGCACAGACCAGAAACAAAACUGAGCAGCAGUACCGCCAGAAAUGGAAUAAUUCGAUCUUGCGCGUGAUAUGAUCGUAUUAGAAACCAAAGCUAUGAUCAGGGGAUCAGGCGUGAAGCGAGAACACUCACACGUCAUCCAUGAACUUGACGGCGGCGAGCACGGCGGUGAUGAGGAGGCGGUGGACGCUGUACGAGUCCACGGCGAGCGCGCCGCGCCCGCGCCGGCCGCGGCGCAGGAGGCGGUCGAGGUAGACGUACGCCACCACGUAGCACGCGGGGCUGCACCCGGCGAACCGCGCGAUGCGCGCCAUGUACGAGCGCACCGAGAUGUCGGGCCUCGCCGUGGCCCGGAACGCCGACGCCGGUGCCGGCGACGUCGCCGCGGACGCCGACGCGGCCCCGGCGGCGAGCUCAUCCGCCGCCGCGUCGUUGCGCUCCACGACGCGCUCCAGCAGCGCGGAGAGGACGCCCACCACCCGCGGCGCGCCCGCGAGCUCCUCCUCCUCCUCCUCGGCCAUGACGCGGUCUCUUGCCGUCGUGGCCUUCUAGACGCUGUGUGUGUGUGCAGGUUCUUGCGCUGGUGGAGAGGGGGUGGACUUGAUGCUGGGCGAGCUCAAGAGGUCCUCAUAUAAAAUGGAGGGAAGACGGUUAAAAGACUGAGCACCUAUUCAGGGUGUAGAAAAAGUUUGCAGCAAUUUUACUGGAAUUUGUACUGAACUUUUUUUAUGUUGUUGAAAGUAAGAGUCGGCAUCAAGGUUGGCGGCGGUAGAGAUUUCCAGCGUUUCGUUCCUCACUGUAUUCCGAUUUCAGUCCCUAGUUCUGAAUAGAACAGUAAAAAAAAUUGAACUGCUUGCAGGGUAAAAUGGGCAGAAAUACACAAUCCUAAGAGAAGUCCAUUAUCCAAAGAGAAGUGCCUCCAAAGACAAGUCCAUUAUCCACUUCUGUGGACCUUUCUCUUAUUUCUUUCGCUUUCAUUUUUUUAGAAUGGAAUAUUCCUUGCACGUCUUUGAUAGGCGGCUCUAAAUAUGGCUGGUUGUUGAUUUGUUUGGUAGUAGCUUGGUGAGGUAAAGAGUACCAAAAUUCUUUCUUUACCACCUGAGUUGCACGCUCGGUUGUUCUUACUUGAGAUUGGUUCAUUAGGGGUGUCACAUUCGUGUCAAAAUGGUGAGAUGUGACGCUCCAAGAUUGACAAAAUGGACAGGUACACCUGGAUCAAGAUCCGAGGUGUAAAACAAAACGCAUCUUCUACACGAUUUCAGUCAGUUAAAGUGUUUUCCCAUGCUUCUUUUAUUAAUCUUCCAUGCUUAUUUUUUUAAAAAUAUCUUUGUUUUAAAACAUAUAUACAUAAUUAAUUUGGUGGACGUGUCAAUCACAUGCCCGCGGCUCUGUUUCUCUUCACAAAAUUCUUCAGCUGGAAAUGGUGAUCACGUCCUAUGAAAGGUCAAACACUAGAACGACCAAGACCAAUAGCGUGACACCAGCGCGUAUCAGAACAUGCCUUCUACUAAAAUCCCAACGGUGCCUCGCUUUUUAGCGUGCGCCUCCAGUCACUGCAUGCAGACCGCUUUUUCUAAUGUUGCUGGAGUAUGUGAUCUGUCUCUGCCAAUUUCGAAAAAAAAAAUCAGUACCAAUAAACAGUUGUUACGUACCAAUAUCUUUUGUAUUGUUUAGGAGUUAGCCCUACAUGUUGUAUCCCUUUUAAAUGUUGGGUUCCUUGCCAACUACUUCUGGAGAUUAGAGCGAGGGUCUAGAUCAUGUCCUGGCGUCCUUGUCUGUAUUAUUGUCCAGGACAUAGACUCAAUACACUCAACCGUAUGUAAUUUGCAUCCGGAGCUGUAACUCUAUUCAGGAAAAUAUGUCGAUAAAAUAGGCACCUGACCACCUCUUUUUCGCCUUUUGUAUGGUCACUGUUUGUUCAUCACCAACCUUUGAACGAUUCUGAUCAUUACUUUAGGGCGCUGCACCUUAAUUUUAAUUUGAAUGCAGCCAGGUGACUGCAACUACCCCUGUGUAGUCUCUUAGCGAGCCCCCACAUGCUUUAGUUCACAUUGCUAUGAGCAAUCUGCUGACAAAUGAGCUGCCUUUUUGGAGGAUAGAGAUUGCUCAGCAAAGUAGCACCACCUAAUUAGAGCGAAAACCGGGUGGUCGUUUGGAGUUUUGCAACAAAUUCAGCUACCAUUAUCCGGAUAUCAACAUCUACAGAAACCUAUAUGUACCAAUCAAAAUAAACAUGCCAAUCAUACAGGAAAGUCAAGAGAUGAUACAUAAUUAUGUGCUAUAAAGUUGCAAGCCAUAGGUAAGAACGUAAAUGUAAAGCAAAGGACCAUAGUAAAACUAAGCAGUGUCAAGUCAAAGAGUGACAACGUGCGAGCAUUGAAGUACCCCUUCAAUCCCAAGAACAAAAGGUGUCCGAGAUGAGAAAAAGCUUCUAGCCAUGCAUCCUCUGAUUGACUUAACCGGUAAUCAAGCAAAGCAAUCGAAUCUAGUUUAUGUACAAAUUAAGAAACUGAACCGAUUUGUAGACAGAAAGUAAACAAACUCAACCAGUUGCGAACAAAACUAUUGCACCAAGAAAGCUUGAUUAAUCCUAAAAAAUAAGGCUUGAUUAAUCCUAAAAAAUAAUGUUCUUUUUGAAAAAGUAAAAAUAAUGUAAAUAUACAUUUCGAAAGUACAAAGAAGCCACCUAUUUGGCCCCCUGUUCGUGAUUUUAGAAUUUCUAACUGUGCCAGGGAUCAAUUUACCUUGUUGUCUGAUUUGUCUAGCGAAACAUCUGAUCAAAUGAUGUAACCCCACUGGAAUUAACAUAGCUGUACCAGUUAAGCACGCAUUUUUAGAAAACAUUUCAGGCAAGUAAUGCGAUCGUUCAAUGUGUGUACUCAUAAUAUCAUCACUCUUGCUUCCACCAUUAUGUGCCCGCAAAAGCAUAGGUGUUAAUCAGUGACUUGUAUUCUUCGUCCUCAGCACAUCCUCUACUUGUAAGUACACUCACUAACCUAUCUGCACCCUCUGUGUCAUUCUUCUCCUUGAAACUUGCUAGGAGACUCUCAACAUUAGUGGGUCUUGGUUUCCAUUUACUUGCACUUUUAACUGCCGUGGCUUUCUCCAUGCAUGACAGAGCUUCAGAUAUUUUAUUAUCCUUCAGGUAGGCUGUGGCAAGGAUUUCCCAGGUGUUUGGCUUGGGGUUUCCACCUUUUUCAACAAAUUGGUUCACAAUUUGUUCAGCCUUGGUAAUCAAACCUUCUCUAGCAUACCAUGCCAGUAAAAUGUUCAUAGUCUUAGGAUCGAAACUAGAGCUUUUGGACGCCCAUUCCUCGUAUAGAAGCUCAGCUCCCUCAAUAUCUCCUAUCCUUACAAGGGCAGAUAGUACCUCUUGGUAACCCAGGUUAUGAAUUGUAGGAAAAGUUGCCUUAUACCAGUUCCAAAUACGGUAAACUUCUUCCUUCUUGCCAAGAUGGCUAUAGAGUGUGAUGAGAUAGUGAAAACACUUUUUGUCCCGACCUGUUGUUCUCUUUUCAGCUCCUUUCAAGCAUUCUUCUGCCUUCUCAGAGUUCCCAAGCUUAAUAUACAUGCUAGCCAGUGUAGUAUAAGUAGUCCAAUUGGCAAUAACAGACUCAUCAGCAAUCAUCUGGCUAAAGACUCGCUCCAUUUCAUCAGCAUCUUGUUUAGCUGCACAGCUCUUUAUCCAAAUGUUGUAAGUGCACACAUCAAAGGAAACAUUUCUUUCCUUCAUCUCAUCAAUAAUUGCUGACACUUCAUCAGGCUCUCCAACAUCAACAUAGAAAUUCAUCAGCACAUUACAAGGUAAUGUGUCAGAUGCAAAUCCUUUUUUCCUCAUUUUCUCAAACGUGUCUUCUGUUUUAUCUUUCAUCAUAGCUUGGGCGUAAACAUUUAGAAGGGAACCAUAAGUCCGCUUGUCCUUCAGGGGAUCAGGGAGCUCUUCAAAAUAUUUCUCAGCAUGUGAAACACCACGCACUUUAGCAAUCAGAUCCAACUGGAUUGCCAUAUCACUUGAUGAGAGCGGAAAUCUAUCUCUGCGCUCUGUCAUCCAAUCGUAAACCUGUGCGUGUCAUAGAAAACAUUUGAUGAGAAUCAAUAUCAAGGCUAUCACUGUUAUGCUUGGCCAUCAGAAGGAGCAUUAGAAGAUGCAGUAAAUUCUAUGCCUAGUCAUCAAUAAGCAUUAUUGCAGGUCCACAGCAAAAAGAAUUUUUGAGAACGUGAAGGGAAUCAAGCUAUUGUUUUCGCAAAAAAAAAAAAAGGAAUUAGUGAUGCUUGAACAGUGGCUACUUUUCCAUUCGGUCCCAAAUUCAUGAACAAACAGGUGCAUUGGCUGAAAUCGAAGUGGAAUAGGUGGUCGAGGGACACCACCGGAGGCGGAUCGCAACAGCAUAUAGCUACCUGGAGCGCGAGGUUGAACCUCCUGAACUUGCGGAGCUCCUUGGCGAUGCGGCAGAGCUCCCAUUUGUCGAGGCGGCGCUCCCCCUCGUCCCACGCCCCCAGCGUGCGCCCCACCGGCCGCCCACCGUGCCCCACCGCGAUGCGACGGUACAGGGUACCCCACCGCAGAGGAGCGCGACGCUCGUAGUCCACCGUCCCGUAGCUGUGCACCUUCGCCACCUGCUGCCCAGCAGCAGCCGCCUCCGAUGCAGAAGACGACGGGGUGCUCGAGGAGGAGGCCGCGCACCUCACCGUCACCGCCACCGCCGCCGCGGAAACGCACGGACGCCUCUGCGUCGAGGGGCGUGCCGGGGUUAUGGGUGAGGAGGAGGUGACGAGGUGGAGCAGCAUGGUGAACGGCGAGGAGGAGGGCGGCUUCCGGUGCGGAUGAAGGAAGGGGAUAAGAGUGGGCGAGCCGGAGGCUGGGUUUGGGGGUUGGGCUGGCGCUUUGAGAUUCGUGCACCAGGAUCCGCACGAUCUGGGCCCACAGCUUUCAUCCUUUGCGUCUUCCCGCGCGGAUUUGUAUUGGUGGGCCGUGAUCUGUUUAUCUUUGGGCCGUGGUUCGGCCUGUAAAAUCCACAACGGCUCUUCUUCCUCAGGACUGCUGCUGAUGGCCCUCUCUAUUUGGGAAACCUGGUUAAGUCCAAAAGAAAAAAAAGUAAUAAAUAAAAUAAAGAGGCCACUUGUAUUAAUUUUUGGGUCACUAAAUUGGCAAUUAUUUGAUUCUUUUUCUCGCGCACUUGAAAAUUCUAUAACGCGUUUGCAUUAAGUAGGUACAGAUGGUCAAGGUCAGUGACAGCUCCUCUCUUUUUUUUUGAUACAUCUUUCUUUCCUCACACAUCUUUCCCUUCUCCACCCAUUGUUUCUCGACUAUGCAUACAUAACCUUCACCACUUCGUCAUAGGGUAGUGGACUAGAAGCACACUAUCUUCGCAACCCACAACACGUAGAUGCUUGUGUUUCGUGUUCUUAAGUGGAACACUACAUGUUGCAAGAGUAUGGUGGCCGCUCGAGCCGCCGCAAGAUCUCACCAUCUCUAGCCGUCGAUGCUACCUCCAUUAUCUUAGGUGAGAAGUUCUAGAAGCUGAUUGGAACCCAUAUCUUUUAAUGAAAAUUUUGAUUGGAGUUUUAGUUGCGAUGGAAUUCGACGAUUCAAGUCAAAAGUUUUAGGAGUAGAGUAGAAGGGGAAAUUUAAUUGUCAUAUACUUUGGAUCUGAGUUUUUGUGCGGACUAAAAUUCGAGCAAUUACUAAAGAAAGGUGUCUUUCUUUCUGUGCACAUCUUAUUCCCCCCUCUCCACCCUCCACUUCUCGACUACGCAUAGAGCACCAACUAAAAGCUCACUAUCUCCGUUGCGCAACAUGAAACUUGGAUCUUUAGCAAAAUUUUCGAUUUGAGUUGUAGUUAUGGAAGAAUUCAACAUUUCAGUGGUAACUAUCGCAGAUUAAUCAUUUCAAGUCGACAGUUUUCGGAUUUGAGUGGAAGGGGGGAAUUUUCUAGUCCGACGGGUUGGAUCUAAAUCGAAGGUUUUUCUUUUUGCAGGUUGAAAGUUAUGAUGCAGAGUUGAAAUUCAGGCAAUUACUAAGGAUAUUGCCUUACUCAAGCGGAAUAAUGGGAUUUUGAAUUGGAAUUUGAAGCCAGCCCUCACACAUGAAGGGAGAGGAGGUAGGUUUUCUAACUAUAGCAAAUACAAAACUUCAACAGUUUACUUAUCAAUUACAGCAACUACGUAUCAAGUAAUAGUGGGAAUGUAUUAGAAAGCCGUUGUGGUACCUUUUGCUAUAUCAGUUGAAUUGUCAAAAUGCACAACUAGAAAAAUAAAGCGUAAUGUGUUGGCACUCAUUUCAAUCAUGUAUUGACAGGCAUAAGACACCAGUUAUCCUGUCCAGAAGAUUCAACAAGUAGCACUGAUUGGAAUUGGAAUGGUUAGAAGUGAACCCAAAAUUUUGGCUAUCUGUGCUAAUACCUGGGCAAUGUAAAACUCCUGAAAAAAUAAUUGUGCCUGGCUUAUAACCAUGCCAAAGUUGCAGCAAGAUUUUUACCGCACUCAGAUUUCACUACAUUCGGCCUAGGAGUAGUCUAGGCAAUGCAAAAAAAAUAAAAAUAAAAAAAACAUAACCGAAUUCUUUAAUGGAACCAAGUGCUGAAGAAAUUGAGGUCACUAGUGCUGUUGCUAGUGACCUAAUGCCAUGUCUGGUUGCACAUAUCACCAACCAACACUAUCAUCAUCAAGCAUUGUCUUGGCUCUGAGAGUCAAGAGGCCCUGCAAUGCAGACACGCACAGCCAUGCUCAACAGGCCAAAACAGGUGAGCAAACAAACACUUCAGCACCGACUGCAAAUUGCAAUAUCACAUACAUAACUCCCUAGUAUGCUCCUUUUUUUCAUUUCCUGCAAUAAGAUGUCAUCUUUUCCAUACAGAGAACUUAUAAUCUCUCCAUGAGCCAUAUGCUACAGAAAACCAGCAGAACUCCAUCCAAAAGCAUGCUACAAAGUGCAAACGUUAGCUGAUCGGACAGUUUGCCAAGUUGGCAGACGACACAUUGUUAUCUGGGCGAUGACAGCACAUGCAAGAUCAAACUGCAAAAUGCCCAUCAGUGGUCGGUAAAUAAAGGCACCAUGAUCCAAGAACCUAAAAAAACUACCGCUAUCGCCUGUUCCUAAGUUGCUUGCUGAUGGCACCUGGGACUAUGGUUGCUUGAGACACCCCUCCCCUCCAGCAACCCCAUCCACGGAGGUGGAGCUGUGAGUUAUUGAACUCAGCUGAGAUGGCUGACAAAGAAGUUCUGCUUCCGCGUGCCGUGCAUUUAGAGGAAUGUCCAGCAGCAAGUCUUGAUCAGAGUCACCAUUGCCAUACUGUGGAGGGACCAACAAGGAUAACUUUUCUGGGGGUAGCAUAAAUAAGCUAAGUGCUCCUCCAGUGCAGGUUGAACCUUUGGUGGCAUAGCCAGAUUUUAGCAUAGAUGAGCUCUUAAAUUGAGAAGCCAAAUCCCCAGACUUUAAAACUCUUUUAGGAGUCCUCAUGGUACCCUCUAGUUCUGCAUGUUCACAAGCAAAAGCAAAUAAGAAACCUUCUUUGUCACUGACAUACAGAAAUAGUGAAAUAGGAAUAUACUCCGUGAGACAUUUUUUGAUGUCACAUCUAGAAACUUGAUGCAAGUCAGGAUCAUAGGAACUAAUAUUGCUAACCUGUUUCACUCUGAAUGUGGGUGUCACGGGAUCUUUUGAGCGGUUUCAUAGUGAACUUGGUAGAGCCUUUUGAUCCACUGAUAUUCUCCACUCCUCCAAUUGCCUUAAUCUCCUUUUCCUGAACAAAAAGAAAUAACUAAUUAGCCAUGUAAAAGCAAGCUUGGAGAUGAGAAAAGAGAUAUAAGUGAUGUAGGUAAAUGUAUUAGAAAGCCAUUGUGGUACCUUUUGCUGUUUAUAGCACUCCAGCCAUUUGCAUCUUGUUAAAUUAGUUAAGGCAAGCAUCUUCACUGUAUUCCAUCCCUCAUCACCAGAGAAAGACGGAUCAAGAAUUCCCUCUCCAAGAAGCAUUUGGUAGCUAUCUAUAGCAUCAGAAAACUGGAUAGAAUCGAACAUGCUUCUAACGCUGCUGAAAGAACAAGAUACAAAUGAGGACUUGCACAAAAUGGCAUCAACUAAUAUGAGUAAAGAUCUGGGCAAGCAUAAAGUAAACCUGUCAGGAGUUGAGGAUUCUGCAGGAGAAAGAAGUUUGAACAACUGUUGUUGGUCUUCUUUAGUUAGAUAUUUCACAAAGUUAGAGUAGUUGACAACAUCCUGUUCAAGAAUGAGAAGAUAAUAUACGGGUUUAGUUUCACUGAUUAGUCAAUAUCAUAUAUGCCAACCAUAUCCAAUGGCACUCUAUGCAAAUAACAUCUACAAAUUAUUAACCUGAACAAGAAGGGGCAUCAUAGGAUGGAUACCUCUAAAUCUACUGAAACUAAAGGUGAAUCAAUACUCUCCAGGAUAUGCUUAUUUUCAUAAGGAAGUUUAUCCCUGCAAAACAGACACAUAAAAUAAAACACUUAGAUUGAUUCUUACCAAAGUAACUUGUUUUAGCCAAUACUGAAUGAACAUACCAAUCCUCAAAUGCACACUUUUGCUAAUAAGAACAUAAAGAGUAUAAUACCUUCUAGCAUUAUCUUCAAUAUGCAGCGGUGACCUCUUUAGCCUCGCAGUUGCAGGAUUUAAGUUGAUUGCUGCCCUGUUUCCACUGUGAACAACAAAUGAGGCAGACCCAGAAUAGGAUUCGCUUGUAAUGUAUGAUUUAUUAUCUGCAGGAAUGGAGCUUGCUUCUGAUUCUUCCUCUGGUGAUUUCGAGUUCGGAUGUCUUAGAAGCACACUUCCAGAGCCUAUCUCAAAGGAGCCCACAGGAGUUUCACUAUGGUAUAGUAGGUCUUCCUCUGAGGAUCCUGAAAGGUAAUAUAGCUGCUCUUCAUGCAUGAUGGAGCUAAGAUCUUUUGCAAGCAUUUCUACAGGCGACGGCUUUGGACGAGUAACACAGCUCCUCUUUCUUGAUGGAACUAGGAACUCCCAAGCAUGUGAUUGUGCUGAACCUGAAUUGGCAAUAUAUCCGAGAGUCAGCAUUGAAAUAUGUAACAAAAAAAGGUAACUUCUAAGUAUGGCAAAUCUUGAGAAUCGAUGUUCUUUUAUUUUGUUUCACAGGGUUCAUGUGAUCAAGUAUCACUUCAGGGACAUGAUAAAGGAAGACACGUAGUCAUGUAUGAUACAUCAAGUAUUGAUAUUUAAUGAAACAUUAUUUUCGCCAGAUAUUAGGGUCCAUGCCGUCUGAACCCAAUUUGCAGAUUGCAAUCCUUCACAGUUACCUCUAUAAAAAUAGUGAGCAAUAAGUACCUGAUGGUUUAUCAAAUGACCAUAAGUUCUGAACUUCUCAUGAAGUCAUAAUUAUGGACUACAGACAGAACAGGAGUUUACAAAAAAAAAGUUGUUUGGGUGGCGUCAACGCAUUCAUGAAAAACAGAGGAAAAAUCAGAUCUGCAUUACAAUUUAGAAACCUCUUACUAAAUAUGAGCUAAAAGGGUACCGGUAGAAUAACAAUAUAAAGAUGUCUAAAGAAAAUUUUUGAGUUUUAAGCAUAACUUCGUAGACAAAGCAUCCAAGAAUGUACUUCUGACAUUUAAGUCCUAUCACUUGUCUGAAUUGAAUCUAGCCACAUGCACAGACUCACAAAGGAUGAGAGGGCACACAAAUCAUUUUAUUAAGCAACAACAAAGUAGGCAUUGAGAUCACUGACCAGUCAUUUCACUUGCAUCAGCAGCACCAUAUGGGCCGCAACUCUCAGAGUAUGACACUGCAGAUUCUGAACUAGACCGAUUGCUUGGGUCAGCAUCCCCCAUCUUUUGGAAAUUCUGACAAGAAAAUGGCCCAUUAUCCAUUAUGAUGUGAUUUGGUUUUUUCUUCUGUGACUUCGACUUUGAUGUUGGUGGCUUCAGCUUGCUAACUCUAGGUUCAUUGUCAUCAAUAUAAUCCUUGCGAUGCAUUGGAGUGUAGUUUGCCAAUGACCCCUUUGUUCUCCAUCUUGAGCCACAUGCAUUGCAGAGCACCGGCUUAUCUGGUGGCCCAUUUCGCCAAAGGGGAGUACCUGUUCAAGCAUUACCCAUGAGAAAUCCAUCAAAAUCGAUACACAAAAAUGCGAGCAGAGUACAAGUUCAGAUUUUAAUGACAGUGUCCUACUGCCCACAGGAAUUGGUAUCACAAUUUAGAUGUAUCAAGAGAUGGUGCCAUCAAGUUAGGGAACAUAGAAAACAGGUAAGAAACUAUACAUUAUCAAAGAAUGUAUCCAAAAGAUAUCAUGUAACUAACCACAUACAUUGAGAUUAGAUAUUUCAGAUAUUGUUUUCAAAGCCUCAAUGGUUAGUUCAACUGUAGAGGCAUGUAAUUCUAAUCUGCUGUUCUACACAAUGGCCAUACUGAAUGCAGAUAGCCACUUCAAAGGAGCAUUUUGCUGCAGUAAGAAGCUAAAGAAAGUUCAGGCCAUGUAAUGCUGCUAGCACAAGACGGGAUAAUAUUGUGUAAAUUAUACAGCAAACUUAAGUUUUCACUUCAAUGGCACCCUGAAACUAAGCAUUUCUGUAGAAGCAGCAGCAAGUUUACUCUAAAUAUCUGAUUGGCAGAAGCAAAUGGUUAUUUUCCUCUUGCAGAAUAGGAGUGAGAGCUGCAUCUAAACUCUCAUUAUCUCCGAAAGUCAUCUAAGAAGCGCAUAUCCACCGCAGUCAAACACGAGUCUAAAUGUGUUCCGUGGGUAUAAUCUGUUCCUCAAGUUCAGAAUUUUACAGGCAAAGGCCUCUGAAACCUCAACUAUGUGCACAGAUUUCUCUUGAACACUCAUGGCAGUUCAAUGGAUUCAGAUAUAAUAAUAACCAUCAACAAACGCACAAGCAACACGGAAAUAUGAGGAAUCCGAGUCCAUGGAGUCCAAAGAUUUCGUCUACGGCCCGGUUCCCAGAUGCAUAAUUGGGGGAAAUCGUACCCCGAAAAGUAUUACUUGCUGAGGAACAAAGGGGCAAAAGGGAGGAAAACAAGAGAAAAAAGAACAACUGGAAGAAAAAUUCUAGCUUUAUUCAAGAACAAGAGCUCACUUGUGACUCCGCAAUGACGGCAGGGUCCUUGCUUCCCCAUGAUUCCCUUUGCUCCUCACCUCCCCACAGGUGAAGAAGAACGGACCAGAGGAAAAUCCAAACAAAACAAACACGGAAAAACAAAGCAGAAACAAGCAGUUCUCCUGUACAGGUAAAUUUUUGAGCAAAAAAAGGGGGAAAAUCAAGAACUAUUUCUCUGUAUGAAUCUCGUCAAACCCAAAGGGGAUUCCUGGGGACAAUUCCACAGCCCAUGAGGUGCUCAAAAACCAAGUCUUGCUUGGUAGGUGUUCUUCUUUCUUCCUCUCCCUAUUUGUUUUCCUAUUGUUCUGUAUCCAGUCUUUUAGAGAGAGAGAGAGAGAGAGAGAGAGAGAGAGAGAGAGAGGGGAAAGGGGUGGAGAAAUAAUGGAGGAAGGAAUGCAGCACCAGCAGCCGAAGGGGAGAUUUACAAAGGCCGGGUGAAAGGCAUUUGGGGAGGAAUCCAAAAGAAUUAUAAUUUAAAAGCUGUAUGUUUUUGUUAAAAAUAGAGAGAGAAGCAAUUAGGAAUUGGGCAAAGGAGGAAAAGGAGAUGAGGUAGAGAGGGAGGGCAAAGCUUCUUUCUCUGUUGUAUCUUUCGACCUUUGGAUGGUGGGUUUGCUGUGUUUCAUUUCAUUUCAUUCAAUUUCGUGAUUAUUCAUGUGGAUGUGACUAAGUUGAAGUUAGGGAUAUUUCCUUGCACUAAUUAGUCAAUUUGCUUACCUUUAAAGCUCUCCACUCUGGGUGCCAUUAAAAGAAUCUUUUGCCUUGGGCCAUUUGCAUCUUACCCCCUUGAGAAAGAGCACAUGUUCAGUCCAACGAAGUCGUGUACCGUAGUACAACGUCUGGAUACGCCACACAAGCUGAACCCAGGAUGGAUGUUGCAUAAUGAAGUUGACAUUGAAAAGUCUCUUUUGAUAGGUUAAAAAAAUCUUAUGCAAUUUUUUUCUUGCCUAUGCACUUUAGACAUACUAUUGCAAUAAUCCAUUAGCAAACAAUGAUAACUCUAUGCUAUACGAAAAACGCGGGAAACGUCCGACUUUUGAAAACUACAUAAUCGUCGCAAUUAAUUGAUUUAUGCUCAAAGUAGUUCGAAUGUAUAUCACAGAAUAAUUUAGGCAUAUAUUCAUGAAUACGAUACUGCAAGUUUUUUCUUCUAAAAGUAAAAUAUGAUUUCUAAGAUAUGUAAGCUAUACUGGUUUAUAAACAUCUAGGUAUCAGUUUAUGUCAGUUUAUGGAUAAAAGUCCAAAAUUUUGUGCACACAUAAAGAUCAUAGGUGAAGAGAUAGGCAUAGAGGUGACACAAGAAAGGUGAAAGUUAUCCUCGAAGCAGUCCUGCCUGGUGGAUGAGCUAAAACCCAACCAAGGAAGCCUAAGGGUGUAUAGCUCAUGAUGUGUCGCUAAAGAAAAUGUACUAGACUCCAGAGACAUAGGAUCUAUACUACUCAGGUUUCGGGUACGACGGGAACUCAAGGGAGGCUUGUGUAAUUUGAUGCCCCUUUUGAAAUGGGAAAAAACUUUAUUUGCAUUUUUUUUCUUUUACAUGCAAUUCGAUUUGGCAAAAAAAAAUUCUUUAGUUAGGUGUCUUUAAUAUAGAAAUUUUCUUGGCAUAUCUGAAAGAUCAUCUCCCAACAACUUAGCGUAUAAACACAGAUUUGGUGAAGGCACCUAUAUAGAAACAGAGUGCGAAAGCACUCAAGUUCCCAGUAUGGAGGGCUGCGCAGGCCGGUCCAAAAGCUGUUUCAACGUGUUUGCCAGAAAUAAUAACUCCUCCUAGGUGAUUUCCAUAUAAUUCUGUGGGUGAUCUUGCCAGUCAACUGUUGGAUUGGCAAUGGUGCAGUGAAUAUCUUGCCAUUUUUUCCCUAACAUAUUUGGAAUUCCUGGUGCCACCCAGCAUUUUACAUCCGAGACAAGCGACUCUGCGCUGUAUCAAAUCCAACUAAUAACAACAGUCAUACAAAUUCUGAAUCUGACCACAUGAAUUGUCUCUCGUCAAACUACCUACCAUCCGUUUCAACAAGGCAUUAAAUUCCGCUGGAAUCCAGAGUUUGGAUUACACGCGAAUGUGAGUUUGGGUCACACGAGAAUUUGAGGGGGGGGGGGGGGGGGGGGGGGGGGGUUAAAAAAAGAAAGAAUACUCUCCACGUGCAUCUCUCCUUGAAACGAAAGUUGAAUGGAAAUCAAGCAGAAGUAUUAGGCCGCUAGAAAGAAUAGGAAUAGCGUUAGCAAGAGGUCUGCGAGAGAGUACUGGUGACUCCAUCAGCUGACGUAUUUUUACACCGAAACAGGCUGCCAAUAUUCAAAUCAGCGAUGACACGGUCGAGACAAACGCUGCGUCAGAAAUUAGGCGAUUUUACGUGCUAAGGAAAUUAGGCAUCGUCUAGGCAGGGUCAGUCACCUCAUGCGAGCCAUAUUUUUUUACUCCGAGCCCACCAAAAGGUCGGUCUCUUCCGGGUUAUUAACAUGGUGGCCACUCUUAGUUGGCGCAAGCCACCCGCACCGCCCAAUCUUCCUAGCUAUACCAAACAAAGGGUUAUUCCUAAACGGAAGGCACCUAAUAAUGUUAGAAAAAUGCCGGAGUAAUAAUUGUUAUAUAUUAAAUCCAAUUGAAUUUUCUCAUAACAAAGAAAUCCAAUAGGUUUUCUCUCAGAAAAAGAAAUCCUAUGAAUUCCCCUACCCCUAAAAAAACGAUAUAUUGUGGAUUUUCCUACAUUACAGAAUAUAUGAUUGUGAUUCGAGAUUUUUUUUUUUGAAUGAGUGGGCACGAGAUUGUGCAUAUUUCAUUGAUAUAAAGAAGUUUUACAGGAAGGAAUUUGGUGAAACAAAGAUAUCCCCGCUCACAUUCAGCGGUUGCCGCAUAUGUUUUUUGGGUGUGAGUUUAGGUCAAUAUAGGAGUAGAAGAAGGAGACGGUGACAGACCAUGAAAGGGCCCAAGGACGGACGAGAUAGAGAGAGAAUAUUUGGUGUACAUAUUCUUGUGUUGACCAAGCAUGGAGGCCCUGGUUCCUUUCUUUCUUUCCCCGGAGAUAGGCUUGGCUUCGAUGUGGUAGCUCUAUUUGUUUUUCUCUUUUGGAGGGGAUAAGAAACGGAGGGAGGCAUCAAAUAGGAAGCCGGCCAGAUAGUGGUGCCAACUCACCCGGUCACCCCCAUCAUCCCCUCCCCCCCCCCCCCCCCCCCCCCCCCCCAAAAAAAAAAAUGCAUGUCAAAUGCUACGGGAGGAAGCACCACCGAAUUCUGGCUUUGCUUUCCUCGCCCUGCCACAGCACUUUGUGCAAUCACCCGUUGAUUAGCCUGGCAUGAUUAAGCUCUGUCCAAAAGUAUUCAAUUUUUCAUUCCUUUUUUAUUUUGUUACUUCAUCUCGAGUUAAUUCAAGAACUACAUCAACGGUGAGCUGAUUUCGUGAGGGAGUCAAUUUGUUUUGGGUAGGAGCACGUACAUGAUGUAAUUCGUAUUUACUGUGAUGUUGAGGUGUGCGUGAAACGAGUCCGCAGGAAUGGUGGUUGUUCUUACGUGUACAGCAUUUCCGAUCAAUCAAGUGGCAGUAGUACGUGUUGUAUUUUAUUAAUUGGAGAAGCUUAAGUUCAAGUCCUCAAGAUCCAGCUGAGUUGUAAAAACUUUGUGAAGCAAUGUCGUCAUCCAAACCAAACAUUCCCAAAGACCGCAGGUUUCGGUGAGUUCUUUCCGGUCAGUUCUUCACAUCUCCUUGCGUAUAAGCAGGGGACCCCGGUUCCGCACUGAUAGGGAAAUCGCAGCGGUUUUCUUUUCUCCGUGUCUUAGACGACCCUGUCAUAUCAGGAGCUUCGUGCACACUCACUACUCCCCCCGGGAGUCACUAGCACGAGAUGCUGCUUACUGGUGCUCAGCAAAUGUGCAAUAAGGUUGAUCCUUGUUUUAACCAAAAAAUAAAAAACAUUGCAAUGACUUGCAGUGCAGAUCUGUCUGGGUUAAAGUUGUUUUUUUAUUACCUUCAGUGCAGUACCUCAGUGAAUUUUCCGGUGCUUACAUAAUGGUGAUGGAUUGAUUGUACUGGUACUCUUGUUGGGUUAUUAGGAAUGAUCUCCAGGUGAACGAUUUCCAGUUGGGAGCUAUAGCUUUUGCAGUGCUCACACUAUGACCACAUCCUGUGACUCUGCGUAGGCCAAAACCAACAGAACAUUUUGUACGUAUUUGUCAUCAAACAAAAAAAAUGAAGAUAAAAGCUGCCAUGGAUAUCUACCAGCAAUUCAGGCAUCAGCCGGAGCAGCUGGACACGCAGAUCUGCCGUGCUCCCGCGAGAGAGUUCAGGUGCUAAGCCAGGCAAGUUCUGCGCAGAUGGUGAUUAGUCACAGUCAAAGCACGGUUGCUUGACACCGAGGCAGCAGCCAGCGGCCUUGUAGUGUACGCGCUUCGGGUCAAACGGGCUGUUGGCAUCUGAAUAACCUGUUCAACCCUGCCGACUCUACUACAACUGAAUGUCUCCGACAAACUACUACUGUAGUAGACAAUCGGUAGAACCCCUGUCAACCGGAUAAUUCCAAAAAAAAAAAUGCCCCAGCAGUUCUUUUUAAUAUAAGAUCCCAGAAGGUUCAGCCAUGGGUACUGGCAGCAACAGCGAAAUAACUUUGGGAAAAAAAAAUGGAUCAAAUAGAGAAGAGGAGAAGAGUUUCUGGUCGCUGGAAGGCCUGCGGCUCAGGCGCGGGGCCCACGUCUCAUGUGGGACCCGCUGCGACAUGUUGCUGAUUAGAUGGAUAUGUAUUCCAUCCACGUGUAGUAGGAGUAUUAGAUUAGGCGUCUUGAUUUGCUUCUGAAGGGGUGCGCUUGGUUGGUCUAGGCUGCUGGCUCCUCCUGUAUGUCAGGGUGAGCAAUGAUAUAGCCAUUCAGUUUCGUUAGAUAAGAAACACUAACAUGACAAGUCUGCGAGGCUCGUAACGCUUCGCCAAUUUUAACAAGCAUCACCCAAUCUGCAUCCGACGGCCGUCAUCAAAACCGUCGAUGUUAUCUUCUUCCUUUGUAUUAUUAGAUGCUAAAUAGUAGUUUCUUUCAACUUAAACUGUGUUUACUUUAACCGACCAAGCCAUUGCUGUUUAGGCUGACCAGCGGGUCGGAAGGACAUCGAAGAACAUUUAUCUUAACCCUAGUAGUUGAUAGAGUAGUUAGUAGAACUUAGCCGUCUCCAUGGCGGUUGCUGAAUCGGAUUCCUCCUUGUUCAUCGUUGAUUCAGUAAAGUUCUUGCUACUCUGUCUAUCGAUUAGCUUCUGAGUUCUUUGUGUUUUGGUUCAGUCCUAGCUUCAUUCUUUUUCAUUUGCAAAGUUCUUGACAAACGUAUCCAGAGCCCGGCAUCCUCGGCCGGAUUCUCCAAUUCCAGAACCAAAUCUUCCGGAUUCAGACCGAUUGGAGUGGUGGAUUGGUGGUUGCGGCUCACCCGCCUAAAUUCCCACCCACCCACCCGGAUUCGUGGAGAACACCCCAAUUUUCCCUAAAUCAGCGGUAGAUUUCUUGCUAGUGAGGGUUGCAAGGCAUUGUUCUUGCAUAAAAUUCCGAAAACUGUGCUGGAAUCCAAUCCUGCAGCGGCAUUGGAGGGAGACACUCUUUAGUGAUGGUUGUAAGACAUUCUUGUGUAAAAUCCCCAAGCCAAAUCCAUGUGUCAGGCAGCGGUUGAACGUACCAUGAGACUAAUUAGGGAGGGUUUUGCCCAAACCGAUCUUGCAUAAAAGGAUGGUAAACAACAAUGAAACUGGUGAGCAGAACUUGUAUGCCAUUGCUGUGAAUGUGGAUGGACUUCGACGCACUCUUGACAAGUUCAUGAGGGAGCAGGAUGUUCAGAACAAGUUUAUUCAAGGGAGUUUGGAUUAAAUCCUGAAGCUGUUUGAUGAUGCUUGUGAGCAACAAGUUGAUCCAAAGCUGGAAGACAAAGGCUCCAAUUUAAAGGAUAAAGUUAUCUCUGAAACCUCGAAAUUCAUACAUUAUCAAAUUCCACAGCAUCAUAGAGUAGAAUUUUUAGAAAGGAUCAGGAAAACUAAAAAAAAAUCCAGCAACACCUUCAUCUAGUAUGAUAGCUCAUGGACAUGAUCUGCAUAAUGUUAUUCCACCUGGAACACAAUAUCAUGAACAUUGGUCCAUUGAAGGCAAAAUUGAAGGGAUGAAGGAGUGCUAUCAUGAAGAAGGUCAUGAUUUUGAACAAGAUUGGAUACAACAUCUAUGGAAUAUUCAUGAUUUUGAAGAACCCAUACAAUACCACCAGCACAACAGAUACAAGGUACCAUAAUAAAAUAUUGCCACUGACCAUCAGCAAAACCAGUACAAGCCACAACAAUUCCAGAGAAAAUUUGUUCAUCAGCAACAAGAAGGAAAUCAACAACCUAGGAAUUUUCAAAAGCUAGAAGCACAAUACAACCAACAAUUACAGUUCAAUCACAGAGCAGUAGCCAGAGGACCCAAAUUGAAUUUUCCUGAAUUCAAUGGUAAAGAUAUUUAGGGGUGGAUAAGAAAAGCUAAGAAAUAUUUUGAGUUGAUAGAAGUUCCUAGUGACGACAGAGUUCAAAUUGCAGUACUUUGUAAGGCUGAAUUCUGGUGGAGGGGCAUAGGCUGCAACGCAAGCACCCUAUCUUGGUAUCAAUUCUGUAGAAUGGCAACAGACAGAUUUAAUGUAAUCUCUGAAUAUGAAAUUGUUGGUCAAUUUCACAAUCUGAAGCAAGUGGGGUCUAUAGUGGACUAUGUGGAUAGGUUUGAAGAGAUGGUGAAUACGGUGAAAAGACACAAUCCAUCUUUGUCCGACAAUUACUUUCUUAGCAGUUUCAUUUCUAGUCUAAAAGAUCAAAUCCAGUAUCACCUGCAAUGUCAUAGACCAACUGCUCUAUCCCAAGCUUAUUGGUAUGCCAAGAGAUUGGAACAAGCAACUCCAAUCUUCAAAAAGUACAACAAUUAUGUACCACAACAAAAGAUGCAAAAGCCAUAGGUAAAAGACAAAGAGACUCCAAAUCCUUCGUCAGCUGAAUUGAAAGCUCCUGGCAAGUGCUUCAAAUGUAGGGAGCCUUGAGUUCCUGAUCAUGCAAAAACAUUUAAAGGCAAACAAAUCUACUCAGUUAUAUUGGUGGAAAAUGAUGAUGGGCAAGAAGAAGUAGCUAUUGUGGAAGAUGCUAAUUAGAUAGAUGAAAUGAUCUACAAGACACUAAAACAAUGGCAACUUACCAAAUUUCCAUGUAAGCAUUGACUGUAACACUUUCUAACUCAAGUACAUUCACAUUGAAGUUGCAGAUUGGCUCAACAACAACAACUAGUGGACAAUGGCAGUGAUGCUUCUUUCAUUAGCUCUAAAUUUGCUGUCAAGGCUCAAUGUGACAUUAGAGAAGUAGGAGUUAAGGUAGCUAAAGCACAUGGCAAGGAGAUGCUUAGUGCAACAGCUUGUAUAAACUGCCCAUACUUGAUCUAGGGUCAUGAGUUCAUUCAAACUUCAGAUUAUUGGAACUCAAAGGAUAUGAUAUAAUAUUAGGGGCAGACUGGAUUUAUACACACAGUACAAUUGGCUUAGACCUCAGAAGAAGAGAGUUCUCUAUACCAAAGUAUGGAAAUUCCUUAGUAACAUUUCCUGAUGAAACAUUUUAGAAUAGCAGUCAAGUAAUUAGCACAAAAAAACUCUGUCAAUUACUAAAGAAGAGAGCUAUUGGAGCAGUUAUAAUCUUGAACAAUUUUGGCAAUGAGACAACAAGUUUUCAAUCUGAUAUUCCAAUUGAAGUCUCACAACUACUAGCUGAAUAUGCUGAUGUAUUUCAAGAGCCUGAUCAACUUCCACCAUGCAGAUAUGUAGAUCAUUCUAUCCCUUUACUGCAAGAAACAAAGCCAAUCAAUCAGAGACCAUACAGAUUACCUUAUCACCAGAAAAAUGCUAUGGAAGAACUCAUCAAGCAACUCUUGCAUGCUAAUAUGAUACAACCUAGUGUAAGUCUAUAUUCAUCUCCAAUAAUUCUACUAAAGAAAAAAGAUAGUACUUGGAGGCUCCAUGUGGAUUAUACAUAAUUGAACUCCAAUACAGUGAAAAACAAGUACCCUAUCCCAAUCAUAGAAGAUCUGUUGGAUGAAUUAUUUGGUGCUAAAGUAUUCCCAAAAAUUAAUUUGAGGUUUGGCUAUCAUCAUAUUGGGAUGAAACAUGAGGAUAUUCAGAAAACAAUAUUUACAACUCACUUAGGCCAUUUUGAGUAUGUUGUGAUGCCUUUUGGUCUAACAAAUGCUCCUGCAACAUUCCAAACACUGAUGAACACAAUACUAGCUGAAUUCUUGAGAAAAUUUGCUUUGGUAUUCUUUGAUGAUAUUCUGAUCUAUAGCAUAUCUGAUUCUGAUCAUGUGAACCAUCUUAGAACAAUUCUGCAAGUUUUAAGGGAGAAUAAGCUGUAUGCAAAAAUGAGCAAAUGUUCUUUUGCACAAACUGAGAUUGAGUACUUGACGCAUGUUAUAAGUGAAAGAGGAGUUGCAACCUACCCAACUAAAAUUUCAAUCAUUCAGAACUGGUCAGCUCCAACUACUGUAACUGAAUUGAGAGCAUUUAUAGGCCUAGCUGGAUAUUAUAGGAGGUUCAUAAAGGGUUAUGGCAUAAUCUGCAUACCACUAUUCAAUGCUCUUAAAAAGGAUGCCUUUCAAUAUGGUGAACAACAAGAACAAACUUUCUCACAAAUUAAGCAGAUCAUGUCUACACCACCUGUUCUGGCUCUGCCUGAUUUUACUCAACCAUUUGUACUAGAGGCAGAUGCAAGUGGUAUUGGUACUGGUGCAGUGUUGAUGCAAAAUGGAAGACCAAUUUCAUUCUUAAGUAGAACACUUGGUACAAAAACAGCUGCUUCUUCAACUUAUGAAAAAGAAGCAAUGGCAAUUUUAGAAGCUUUGAAGAAGUGAAAAUAUUAUUGUGCCAGUACAUCUAUGGUGAUUAGAACUGAUCAGUGGAGCCUAAAGUACAUUCAAGAUCAGAGAUUGGUAGAAGAAAUUCAACACAAACUACUAGUCAAGUUGUUGGACUUUAACUACAAAGUUGAGUAAAAAAAGGCAGAGAGAAUAAAGCAACAGAUGCUCUAUCUAGAGCAACUCAUUCUCAAGAAGUUAUGGCCAUCUCAGCUAUAACUCCUACUUGGAUGGAACAAGUAAUCACAAGUUAUGAACAUAUGAACAAGACCCCAAGUGCCUAGAAUUAUUGAUCAAAUUGAGCAUUGACCCUCAAGCAGUACCAAACUAUUUAUUACAAAAUGGCAUUACAAGGUAUAAGGGCAAAUUGAUGAUAGGAGACAAUACUCAGCUCAAGUCUCAACUGCUAGAUAGUUUUCAUAAAUCUGCAUUUGGUGGACAUUCUGGUGAAAGGGCCACUCAAAAAAGAAUACAACUUAUCUUCUACUGGCUAAACAUGCAGUAGCAAAUCAAGCAAUAUGUCAAGAAUUAUCUGAUUUGCCAGAAAAACAAGGCUGAAUAUACACCAUAUCCUGGAUUGUUGGGUCCUUUACCAAUCCCCAAUUCAACCUGGACACAUGUCUCAAUGGACUUUAUUGAAGGCCUCCCUAAAUAUGAAGGGAAGGAUGUUAUCUUAGUUGUGGUGGAUAGACUAUCCAAAUAUUCACACUUCAUUGCUCUCAGCCACCCGUAUACAGCUCAAGAUGUGAUCAACCUAUACAUGGACAAUGUCUUUAAGUUGCAUGACCUCCCAAAAGUGAUAGUGACAGAUAGAGACCCAAUCUUCACAAGCUCAAUUUGGCAAGCAUUAUUCAAGAGCUUAAAAGUGGAACUUCAUCUGUCCUCUGCAUACCACCCACAAACUAAUGGUCAGACUAAAAGGGUUAAUUAGUGCCUUGAGAAUUAUCUAAGAUGCAUGUGUUUCAAUAGCCUAAGAAGAUGGUUUCAUUGGCUGUCACUUGCUGAAUGGUGGUACAACACAUCCUAUCACACUUCAUUGAAUAUGACCCCAUUUCAGGCCUUGUAUGGUUCACCACCACAGAUAGCAGAAGAUGUGAUCCCUGACUGCCCUAACAUCAGUGCUCAAGAACAGUUGAGGAAUAGACAAGUUGCCAUCCAAGUAAUCAAAGACAACUUAUCUAAAGCUCAGGCAAGAAUCAAACAUCAAGCUGAUAAACAUAGAACUGACAGAGAAUUCUCCAUUGGUGACAUGGUUUAUCUCACGAUCCAACUUUAUCGCCACACAUCUUUGAGUGCUCACAAAUGUCUGAAAUUGCAUUCUAAAUUCUAUGGUCCAUUCAGAGUACUUGCUCGAAUUGGUAAGUCAGCUUACAAACUGCUACUACCUGAGGGAUGCCAUCUACAUGACACAUUCCAUGUAUUGACUGAAACAACAUCUAGGGCCUGAAGCGGUGCCAAGCAAAGAAUUGCCACUAAUUGAUGCUAAAGGAACAAUCAAAGUUGCCCCUGCACAUAUACUUGAGAGGCGGAUGAUCCCAAGGAACAACGAGCCAGUAGUUCAGUGGCUCAUUCAUUGGGUUAAUCUAGCAGAUCUAAAGCUACUUGGGAGGAUGCCAAUUUCAUCCGCAAAGUCUUCCCUUCAUUCCAUCCUUGAGGACAAGGAUCUUAAGGAGGGGGUAUUGUCAGGGUGAGCAAUGACAUAGCCAUUCAGUUUCGUCAGGCAAGAAACAUGAUAAGUCUGCAAGGCUCGUAACGCUUCGCCAAUUUCAACAAGCAUCGCCCGAUCUGUAUCCGACGACCGCCAUCAAAACCGUCGCUAUUAUCUUCUUCCUUUGUAUUAUCAGACGCUAAAUAGUAGUUUCUUUCAACUUAAACUGUGUUUACUUUAACCGACCAAGCAUCGCCCGAUCUGUAUCCGACGACCGUCAUCAAAACCGUCGCUAUUAUCUUCUUCCUUUGUAUUAUCAGAUGCUAAAUAGUAGUUUCUUUCAAUUUAAACUGUGUUUACUUUAACCGACCAAGCCAUUGCUAUUUAGGCUGAUCAGCGGGUCUGCAAGGGCAUCAAAAAAAACUUUUAUCUGAGCCCUAGUAGUUGGUAGAGUAGUUAGUAGAACUUCACCGUCUCCCUCGCAGCUGCUGUAUUGGAUUCCUCCCUGUUCAUUGAUUCCGUAAAGUUCUUGCUACUCUAUCCGUCGAUUACCUUAUCUAAGUUCUGUGUUUUGGUUCAAUCCCAACUCGAUUCCUUUUUGGUUUGCCAAGUUCUUGACAUUGUAUCCCCCCUCUGCCCUCUCCCUUUCACGGUGAGCGGCGCGGAGUCUCCGUACGUGCGCUCGUCGAGUCGCGCGGCCAUGUGGCCCGCCCCCUCCGUAUGUGCACGCUGCCGUCAGCACCGGCUCUGGGUUGGUGGCGUCACGCGCUGGCUCGCCGAGGAGAUUUGAUUUACAGCUCGCCUCCUUGGUCUCAGCAUGUUUGUCCAGCGCGAAUACUGCCAGCCUGCCACCGAAUAUGAGCCGCAAAGCGGGGCUGCAGUGGCUAGAAAACAUAUCUUAAAUUUUUAUAUGUAUUAUUAAAUGGAGAAAGCUUGCAUCCAGCACGUACUCCUGCUGACCAAUAAAGUCUGAGAGCUGUCUCAAAGCUGUGGAUGUUUGUGAUUCCCCCUAUUCAUUUUACGAAAAGAGUUGUACCUUUUUUCCUGCUCGAAAAUGUUACAGAAAUUUUCACCUAAAAUGGCAGUCCCAUUAAAGCUGUGGUUUGGGAGUUGGGAUAUGGGGAGGAAUCCAUCUAGAUUUACAGGUUGCACUAAAUGAAUGCCAACACCCCCCAGAUAUAUCAUAUGUAUCACACAGACUGACUGAACAGCGAACACAUCUUCACUGUUGGCAGUUAGCGGUCCUGUGACAGAAGUCUGUCCUCAAGGACAGCCGGGCCAAUUCAGUGAAAGAAUGUCAGGGUCUCUCAGAUUCCCAUGUGCAAACACCUUGGGCUCUUUCACCUAUAGAAAAUGUGCAGGCAUAGAGGACGUGAGUAAAUUCUUGACAUAAGAGGAAAUUAUAUGAUGGCGGUUGUAGUUGCUACAAGAUACCAAAUUUAGCUACUAAAUUUGAUGAGCUAGUUUUUUUUCCAUACCAGGUAAAGUGGGGGAAUUUGGUGCUGAAGUUUUACUCUGGAGAAUCCAUCCACAGCAAACAAGCAUUUGUACCCACUAAUGGAGUGGUGUUCACUGUUUCAUAUAUACGAGAUAAGAGAUAGACCAUUAAAGCAUCAAAUAUAUGAAAAGCACAGAAGUUGCUGGGAGCAUCCAAAAAUUUGUCAGGUGCCCAAAAUGGCUGAAUGGUCGAUUUAACAAACUAUUAAACUCACUUCAGUAGAUAGGUGAAAUUCCUUUCCUGAAAUUCUUCAAUGGAAAUUUGUUCCUCCUUAGAAUAUCUGCCACAAAACAAAAGAUUGAUUAUGCAAAAACAAAAUUGUGUGAGAACUUUGAUGUAAAGGGAAGGAGACCAUAAUCGAUUAAUGUGGUCGUUGGAUUGCUUGAGCCACAUGGUUGUUUAUAUAAUAGUACAUGGCUUGGAGGGCAAGGAGCCUCUCCUAGAGAUAUGAAGGUCAUCACGAGAUUACAAUCAAUACCAAAGUAAUCCUAUGUACGUAAUCACAGCAGGGGCAUCACAUAUAGUGAGAUUGGAGAAGACCCUGCAAUCAUAACAUUCAAUGUGCCAGUGAUGUUGUGGCUGGAGUGGAAGCCAACGAGGUUGCUCAAGCGCCUUGUAGCUCUUGGUGCUGAUAUUGAGGUAGUUGAAAGUGAGGGUGAGUAGAUGUGGUCAGGAUGUUGUGUCUAGGAUGACCGUGUCGACGUAGCCUAAUUGGGGUUGAUGUUGUUGAGGUAGCACCAUACCACACAUGAAGCAGUGGGUGCAAGAGGAAGCGCCAUGGAGACGUGUUGAGGCAAAUGGCGACGCAAAGCUGAAUGGUAUGACGCGAAUGAUCCUACACAAGGCUGAAUGAUUCAUAUGUCGCGGCGGCGGUGCUCAAAGAAGACGGCGAAGAACUGAGACGUCAUGCGGGUGGCACACACAACGACAUGUAGUCAAUGGUAUCAAAUGGCAUGUCGUUGGUGGCAUGAAGAUGCAACAGUAGGAGCCCUUGGCGAUGUCGGCGCACCUCAAAGGGCAUGACGGUAGUCGCUAGCUAUGACUAGGAGUAGUGUGCUACUACCCAAAGAGGCGAUGCAACGGCCGCCUUUGCACCCGCAGAUGAUGUGUGCAAGAGCCUGGAUGGAUUGCACGCAAUCGGAUGAUCAGACCAUAGGCAUGAGAGGCAAGGAUGAUAGCGAGAAUGACUCGGCAUGAUCGAUGACGUCAUCCUACACCGAGUGUCGUGAGGACAGUGGCAAGGGUAUGGUGCGUCAUGUUAAGGUCAUGCCAAAGAGGAUAAGGUCGUGUAGCCUGACGCAUCAAAGAUUUGCAAGUGAUUUGGUGGUGUCCCAAUAGGUGUUGGUGAUGAUGAGCCAGUGAGAAAAACCAUACGAACACUGACUUCGAGGGUGUCCCCUGGAGUGCCGCAAACCCGACCAUGCCGCACAGGUGAUGAUGAGGAAGAGGCUGGUGUAGUCGAUGCUGUUGUCAGAGUAGGAGCACGUGAGGACAACACAUGGCGGUCGACACAUUCAAAGCUUAGAUCGGGAAAAACAAAAGAAGCGCCGAUCAAUCGACCGGUGAGAAAGAAACGAAAGAAACAUGGAUCAACAGAUCAAAAAAAAAAACUCUUCCAACCCUUGGUGCAGGCACUGCCCCUGACGGAAAUCAUUAGGCGAUAGAUGGAAACUAAUUUUAUGCUAUCAUAACAACCGGAUCCUUAUCCAUAUUCUCUAACAUAAAGUGAUGAAAGCUCAGAAUUGGUGGUAUCAAAAUUUAAGAAGGAUCAAAGGAAUGUACAGUAAUCAACGAACAUGACAAUAAAGACAGAUGCGUCACCAAUUCCCCAUUCACCCCUAAUAGAAGACCAACGCAAAAGUAAUCAGCGGUUCAGUGCUUCCGAAUAUAAAAUUAGUAUGCAAAUGUUUCCAGAUAACACAAUACAAUUAAAAAUGUCUAAGAAACAAAUACAUCUUAACUAUGAGUCCAGCUCAAUGUUCAACCUCUUUAUAAUUAAAGAUGGCAGUGUUCGACUUAGGGCUAUGCUGUGGCAAAAAUACUAACACCUAUUGUCUGUCUAUGAGGCUAUGAAAUUCUGUACCUGACUUCACAACAUCAUAAUAAUUGUCCAGAUAGAUUCCAGAGUGUAAAUCAAACUGGACUAUCGCAGAAAGUAUACACUCAAUAAAAGUUGGGAAAACUGUAUGCUGGACCAUAUAAGGCAGACGUAUCGUGUAGGGAUAUCUCGUGAGACUCGAGGUAUAUUUUGCCAAAUAUAGUGAAAGUGUGGUUGGCAAAGAAAGGUAAGACCAAAAGCAUGCUAGUCAGGGAGUAGCAAAGAGACAUGCCUGAUUCAGUAUUCCAAUAACCGCAUCCUACAACGACCACUACUGAGAAUACUCAUAAAACUAAUGGGACUUAAAAGUUUAGCCUGAUGGUCCUAAAUAGAAGUACAGAAAUAAAAGAUUAAUGGAAUCAAUAAUAAAAGAAGUGUUUUCUUGAUAAGAACCAACAGCGAACUAACUUUGUAAUAUAGGAGCAUACCUCCACGGAUAUUCGCUUUCGCAGAAACGAGAAACCCCACUCAUCGCGGUGAAGGCAUCAAUAUGUACCAUCUUUUCCUUCACUGAAGAAUCUGGUAACAGAGGAAUGCAAAGAUCAAUGGCUAGUGGUAUCUGCCAACAAAGGACCCUAUUGUCCAAAACUCCACAGACCCCAUAACCGUAGUAAAGGCCAUUAAGAGUAUACAUCUGCUCGAUUUGUUAUUCUGUGCUUUUAGUUUAUUCAAACUUAAGUUUCAUUCUUAAUAAAUAGAGGUACCUAUACCUUAACUGUAGUUUGACUAGAGGACACAAGAAUAGUUUCAUGUAUUCCAAUUUAGUCAUAUAGCCCUCACCUGCUUCAUGUAGAGCCUUUAGAGCAUAGCCACCAGGAUAAUUGUUGUAGGAUGCCAUAAAAGUCACAGCAGAGUAUCCUAGACUACAGGAACCAUACAUGAGUUAUCGAUGCUAAAUAGAUCCUAUUCCAAAAACAGUUACAAAUUAUAAAUUUAUAAUCAAUUAAGGCAGAAUUAUUCUACCUGACAAGAAAGGCACCAAGCAUGAGAAUAUAGAGUAAAUUCCACCCAGCUUUCUUUCGGUUAUUAUAUCUGGAAAUGAUGAAGAAAAACAAAUAUUAGUGCUCUGACACUUGAACGUCAAGGAUUUUCAUAAAGGAGGUAGAAAAUUGAUGCUAACAUUCCCAGCUUGAAUUGGUCAUUGUUGAAAUGGUAUGAAAUAGAUAAGAUAGUUGCUCACAGUCUGCUAGCUGCUAGUGAAGCGGACACAUUAAACAUGGGAAUUGAGCCGAUUAUGAAACGAAGUUCCUGAAACAUAAAAGAUAUUAACCAUUAUGUGCAAUAUCGGCCAAGUGGAUUUCAGAUAUAUGAAUCAGACUAUUAUCCAGAGAUGAAGAAUUACCUUAUGUGGAAGUUUUGAAUAGAGUACAACAAAUAAGAAGACCGGAAGCAUGUAUGGUACUAUCCUUCUAUCAAGAAGGGCACCAACCUGAAAGUGAACUAUAAGGCUUCAUCAGAUACAUAUCUGGUAAAAAUCAACCAAAAAAUACAUCGGUAAAUCAGCAAUGCCCUAACAAUACCUGAAAUGUCAACUAGCUAGUUCAUCAACAUUUAGAAAUAAAUAAUUGCUUUUAUGAAUCCAAUGCAAUGCCAACCAAAGCUAAGAAAGUACCAUCUGUUUAAACAUGGUUAAAUGUAAUAAAUACUUGGGCAACCCUUAGAACAUUAAUCCCUUACAAUUUCAAAGUAUCUUGAAGUAAAAUUGGAAAUGGAAAAUAUGGCUUUUAUCAUUAUAAUCCUUUAGGUUGUAUACCUACAUGGUGACAUCAAAUCUGAAAGAAGAAAAGUACCUAGUGUCACGAAAAAAGGCGUGCAAAUAUUUUAGAAACACUAUGCUCUAAGGUCACUUAAAAUGCAAACAACAGAUCGUAUGAUAGUUCUAACCAGAUAAAAAUCUGUCUUACCAUGCAAAGAGGGUACGCCACAAGCAUGGAGCGUGGAAGUGCUGAGGUAAAGUACCAAUGAAUUGAAUGGGUCUUAGCUUAAGUCAAGGAGAACAUCAGUGCCAGUGGGAUAGUACAAAGGUUCCCCGGUACAAAUCUAACAACAAGGGAAUAACAUUUGAACAAGACUUGGGUGUUAUGUUUCAUUUGUAAAUGUACAUUGAAUAAAUUGAAUGGAACGUUCAGCCCAGAGAGAAAAGUAACAUAAUGGAAGAGAAUAACAGAUUAGAUAUUUGGGAGAGGAAAGAAAUAUAAGUAUAGUUUCACAAAAGCAGAGAGGAUACGCCCCAUUCUGAACUUCGAUUCAGAACUGAAUUAAACCAGAGAACUUCAAAUUCUGGCCACAGGAUUCGACGCCACAUUAUAGAGUCAAUUAGCACCGUAAAUCCUGAAACAUUAUUCAUAGUGAAGCCAACAUUUUCUUAAAUGUUUGUGUGGCAAAUCCAUAACAGAAUACACAAGGUAACACAAAGAAACAUACCGAUGCAUAUAAGGGCAGUGCUCACACAAUAUUUUACUGCUUCCAGCAGAGAAACAGACCUGCUCUGUAAAUAGCAUAGUCAAAUCCAUAUAUUAGAGUAACUCAGCACCAACUGUACAGAAUUCAUAUAAAUAAAAACAUGAUGUAAGGAUGAUUCUUAUAGUAGCCAAGAGUAUACAUUACUAUAACAGCGUAAUAAUACUACAGCUUCAACCUCAAGAUCAUUGCAAGGUAUGGGAUAUAUGGCUAUAAGAAUGACAGAGCUUGGACAUAAAUUCUGAGGGGGCAGUCUUGAAUAUUCAUUGCUUAAGUUGGUACUUUACGAAUGGUGUCACCUUGUGCUUUUGCCCUAACUCACUGAACACAGAAUGAGAUGUGCUGAACGCCUUAAAACUCAAACCUGGACUUGAAGCACUAUGAGCAAAGCUGCAUCAAACUUGACUCAAACAAUCUAAACAACACAUUCAUCAGUUAAGGAGUUUUGACAUUGUUAAUGCACAUAGCCCAGUGACAUAUAAUUUGGAUUCUUGCUUUCGACAGUAUAUAUAAGAACAAGAAACUGGUAAUCUUUACAACUAGAUCAGAUACUGCUGGUUCAGGAUACAAAUUAAAAAACACCAAGAUCUUUCAGAAGACACCUUGAAUCAUUCCUCCUGUAUUUUCUGAGGGUUGGACCUUUGAGUAUGGUCAAGGGCAAUUCAUAUCCAUACCAUCUAAGCAUUCCCCAAAGAUCAGGACUAGAGUUCUGUUUCUACUAUUUAACGGUGGUUCCAACCAGGUUCACUUCAAGGCAAACUAAAUACUUUCAAACCGGCAAUUGCAAAAUGAGUAUUUUCGAAGGACAUUUUAGGAAUCUAGAUUUUAAACAUAUUGAACCCCUAAACAAAAUUUUCUGGACAGAAUCACCAAUUCCUGUAUAAUAAAGUAAUUAACUAAAAAAUACAUUGAAAUAAGGUAAAACUGUAGAAACAUGCAAACUAUGUGAUGAAAUAAAAUAGGUUUGAACGUCUGGUAGGCCAGGGACUCACCAAUAAAAGUGCAAGCCCUAUUGGGCCAAGAAGAAGAAUUAUAUCACAUCUAAAAAUGAUCGCUGCAGCAAUCUGCAAGAAAAUGAGAAUUACACUGUCAUGUGCAGCCCAUUAGGGCCCAUGAGAUGGAGCAGCCCCAACCCAUUGAAGGCCUGGUGCACUGUUCACCGCGUGGUUAUGUUCACAGCAGCCCUAGGAUUAGAUUUGUUAUUUAGAGAUAAGAUUAGAUUGAGUUGGUUCCUUAAUUCUAGAGAUUGGUUUCUUAGAAGUCAAGGCACCCCAUCUAUAUAAGGAUGGGAUUGUAACUCUUUGAGUUAGGCAAAGAAAUAGUUCCUAUCCUCCUCUCUAUCCCUGCCCUUGUGGUGCGGCCGCCGGGCAUUGGCAUGGUCGCGCCACUUGGGUUCAGGGCCAUCUAAAGUAUGCCCAUGACAUACACAUAGUUUGAUAUAAUUUAAUUGCAUAAAAAGCUUCAAUCCUUUGUUUCCCUGAUACUUGGUGCUGAAACUAAGAACUAUAACUCAAUUUGGUGCUGAAACUUGCAAUUGGUGCAAUCAUGCCAUAUCCAGAAUUUUAGAUUGAUUUUACUUAUUCUUUGUGUGCACCAACUCAAAUUUUGAGAAACAAGAAUCCAUGGUAAUGUUGGGACAAACUGGUCUUUAGGAAAAUGUGAAGACAACAAAAUUCAAAUUCAAAGAGCAUAUUUAAGGUAAGGCAUACCAGGGCUUGUAAUGUACAAAGGUUGCUUCCAUUAAACCAUAAAGAGUAUGCCAAGUUGACUGCAUGACAUAGACCAUAGAAGAGUCACAUUUUCUUUUAGCAAACUCCUAAUUAGAUUUUCAUUGUUGCCAAAACCUUGACAGAAACAGAUUUCUGAUUUGUUUCUACAGUGUGCCGCGUGCUUACCUAAAGCUAAAGCAAAGAUAUUUGGAAGCGGACGACUUGAGUAGAACAGCAAGUGAAACUGGAUAGCAGUUAGUAUCACAAAGAACACUUCAGCUUGAUGACCAAACUUCUUUUUCACCUGCUUGUUAGAAGUAAGCAAACCGAACUGAACCAUGAUCUCCAAUUACAGAAAAACAGGAAAUCAAGUAUAAGCUCUUAAAUAAAAAAGUUACCACAAUGGAUACAACCAUCUAAUCAAAACAAUGCAUGCCAUAAUGAUAUCUGCUACGAUCCAAGAAAAAAAAAACAGGCUAGGAUUUUAAAGAAGACCAAUGUAUUGCUGUGCGAUGCUCCAGAUAAGUGAACCGUGCAUUAACAGCACAUCAUCCACUAGUGAACCGCUAUACAAAUCUUAAGUAAAUUUGUUUCAUGGUAUUAAAAGUCUGCAUAUACUAUAUUCAAAUCUUACAAGGAAUUCCAUUACUAAUCUUUAAUUCUUGAUCAUCUUUCUGCGAGCUGGUUGCAUGCCUGGCAUUAUUUAUGUAUUAUUCAUUUCAGUAAAUCGUUACGUUUUCAGAAUAUCAAACAACAGAAAGCAGCUAGCAGUAAAGCACUGACAGCAUCAAGAGUCAGAUAUAGUGAGAGAUGGGAGAAAAAUACCUGAACUCGAAGAAGUCUCAAACUCAACAAGGUAACAAAACUCAAUAGUAAUCGAACUACAAAAGUAAAUAGGAAAAAAAAA
rnacentral:lncRNA from 1 species